UAUGUAUAAAGUAACCAUGAAACCAAAAAGAUUUAACAAACUAACCAUAGGCAACAAUAUUUUGUCGGAGAUGUAGAUGCAAUUACUGAAGUAAUCUUUUCUUUUUAUCUUUUUAUUUCUCAAUUCUUCUUCUCCAGAUUUCUGUAGUUUCAGCCAGCAGCCUCUCAAUUCUUCUUCUCUAGAUCUCUGUAGUUUCAACCAGCAGCAACUCCGGUCCAAUAUUUUGUCAGAAUCUCGAUGAAACAUUGAUGGCUUGUAAGGAUUCCCUGUCAAUCUCUCUCCCCAUUGCCUGGUUCUUCCUAUUUCUCUAACAUCCUUCUCAUAUUUUUUCCUUUCCCUCAUACCAGAACUAUGGGCUGACCAAAUUUCAGUUUCUCCUUAGAAACUCCACAGUUGCAGAUUCAUUUUUUGUGAAUUUUUUACGGAACUUCAUGUAAUGUUUUCUUAUGCAGCAAUAUCUUUGUUUUCAACAUGCUAUUUUUUUUUGCCAUGUAAAUUUCCAAUAUGUCAUUUUUUUUUUCCUUUUUUGACAUGCUAUUCAUUUCAAAAACACAUUAAAUAUUUACAAAUUUCAAGGUUUUUCGUUCGGAGGAUGCGCUUUUUAAUUUGAUUCAUGCAAUUUCUUAAAAUCACCAUGUAAAUUUUCAAUAUGUCAUGCUUUUUUUCUGUCGACAUGCUAUUCCUUUCCAAAACACAUUAAAUAUUUACAAAUUUCAAGACUUUUCGUUCGGAGGAUAUGUUUUUUUUAUUUGAUUCAUGCAAUUUCUUAAAACCACCAUAAUUUGUUUAUCUUUUCUUUGAUUUUCGCUUGUCAGAUCUUCUCCAAUAUCAUACUCCAUAACCACCUCUCUCACAUAAACCACCACCAUAUCCACCUCACGACGACCACCGCCACGAGAUCCAUAAUCUUUAUUAUGCCUUUUGCAUCCUACCAACGCCAUCUGAGCCUGGCCGGACACUGGAUCUCACGCCAAAACAAUGGUAUCAUUUCACACUGGAUCUCAAGCCAUGAUCUUAAUCGGAAUAAUCUCGGAGAUCAUAUCGUCGUAAGUUUCAUACUUGUUUAACAAAUGGUUUAUUUUGUAAAAACUAUGAUUUUACAAAGUUAAUUAGUCUUUUCUCUACCAUAUCCCACCACAUAAAAGUUACUUUCUUAAGAUUUCUAACACAUGGUUAUUUUUGUUAAUUCUUUCUCGGUCAAAGGCUACUUACUAAUAUUACCCAAGAGAUUAUGAUGACAUUUGUACUUUGCUAUCUAGUUUGAAAUACAAAUACAAGUAGAAUUUUUUGAGUCUAAGGAAAAUAUGAUUUCCAAAAUAUAUAAGAGUUUGACAACUCACUUUCUUUUUCUUCUUAUUACACAUGGAAAAGAUGUUGGGCUUAUGAGCACUUUCCAAGCCCAUCCAAAAUAGUAACCAACCAUUCAUCUAUAUCUACUAAAAGAUAAAUAACAAAAAAAAUUGGUCUCAAUUAUUCAAUUGGACUUGGUUCAAAGUUGAGAUUUGAAGGAAACCAAACCGGUUCUUCGUAAACCAAAGGGGUUUAGAGUGAAUUCGUGGAACCUACUUUUUUAUAUAUUCUCUCUGUUUCAAAAUAUAUGAUGUUUUAGGGAUUUUUUUUUGUUUUAAACUAUGGAUGUUUUACAAACUUCUAUGUAACUUUUAAAUAUAUUUGAUAUCUUAUGACCAUUUGUAUUCUGCAGUCUUUAAUAUCAUUGAUUGAAUUUUUUAAAAUUAAAUAUUAAAUAAUAAUUUUAAGAGAAAAAUAACUUUAUUAAAAUGUGUGUUUUUAACUCAAACAUCCUAUAUUUUAAAACAGAGAGAAUAAUAAAUUAAUCUCUUGUUACGCAUACAAAAAGAUGUUGGGCUUUGAUCUUACAAACCACAAAUUUUCCAUGCCCAUUAAUUUUUUGACAAUUGCUUUUUCAUUUUCCGAGAAUCCUUCAACUAGGCCUGUAAACGGAGCGGAUAUCCAUUUUUUUAAGUUAUCUGUAUCCGUAUAUGUGUCCGUAUUAUCCGCCAAUUUAGUAUCUGUAUCCGGAUCCGGAAAUUUUAGAUAUCCGGUAUCGGAUAUUUGUUAAAAAUCCGAAUAUCCACGGAUAUCCGCGAAUAUCCAGAAAUAGUGUUUUAAAAUCCUAAAAUCAUUAAUAUUAUACAUAAAAAGCUUAAAAUUUUUAUAAAAUAGCUAGAGGUUGAUUAUAUAUACAAAACAUUACAAAAACAAAGAAUUUAUUAAAAUAGGAAAAAGUAUUAAAAGAUUCAAGUGGUGUUCUUAAAAAAAUGACAUUAAUUAACUUCUUAAAUUCUUCUUAGAUAUUUAUUUUUAUUUUUUAUCAUAUGAUUUAUUUAUUAACAUUGAAAAUAAAGUAAAAACAAUUAAAAAUUUGGAAUUACAAGUUUUUUGGGCUUUAACACUUGAAAAAUGAAGUCAUAAGGCUUUUAAGUUAUAAUUUUUUUUUUUUUUUGCCGGAUAUCCGUUAUCCGGCCCAAAUUUUAGGAUUAUUCGUAUCCGUAUCCGUAUCCAGGAUAUCUGUCAUUUUACUAUCUGUAUCCAUAUCCGUUUUUGCCGGAUAUUCGUUUUUUCGGAUCAAAAACCGGAUACGGAUAUCCGCGGAUAACGGAUAUAAAUCUCAGGCCUACUUCAAACCAUUGGAGAAUUAUUCUUCUGAUUAACGAGAAAUUUUCGUGGAAUGUUGGUGAAAAUAUGCUUUAGACGACUAACUUCUCCUUGACCCUUAUAAAUAGAAAGGCAGAAAGCAAAACUAAAUACUUUCUCUAGAAACAAAAUUUAGAAUCAACAUAUUUUUUUUUUCGAAUGCCAUGACAAUCUUAGCUUAAGAAUUACUUUAUCUAGAAACUGUCAAAUUUUUAAGAUGGAUAAAAAAACAGCUUAAAACGGUUUCAUCAAUAACAAGAUUGGACCACAUGCUUUUUUCCAUGUACGUGCCAUAUGAACAAUUCAAGGUUUCGACCAACCUAACAUUUCUUUUUGGCAUAUAACCAACCUAGCAUUUUUUAAUAUUCAAAAGUAUGAUAUCUUGGUGUUGCAUGAAUUUGAAUAAUAAAGUUUAUAUAAUAUAUAUUAUGUAAUUAUUUCUGGUUUUGUUUGCACGUGGUUUUGGACUUUAUAUAUAUAUAUAUAUAUAUAUAUAUAUAUAUACGGUUAAAUACAUGUGUAUGCAUGAAUAUGUGUUAAUUAAUGAUAAUUGAACUCAACUCUCUAUAUUUGCUUAACGCCUUGCUUGAUUGAGGUUUAAUUAUUUCUUGAGCCUAGUAACCGAACCAACCUAGGAUUCGCCGAACCGAAAUCAAAUUGAAUUUCAGAAUAUAUCGAAUAAACCGAGCAUAAUAGCUGAACUCAAAAUUGGUGUAACAAAUCAAAUUGCACAAUGUCGGUAAAUUUAUUAAAAUUCAAUAUUUUUAUAGAAAUAUGAAAAAUACAUCUAAACAAAACGCCUACAAUGAUUAAUUAAAACGACUUAUUUACUUAUAUUUUCAUCAGCUUUUUCCUAAAAACUAAUCAAAUUUGAACAUAACCAAACCGAAUCGAAAUAAAAUUGGGUUCUAGUGUUGAUUUUAAUAUUUUUUUGUCAACAUCUUUUAUAAUGAAAACGGUUAAAAAUCCAAACCCAAGGAACAUAGUUUACAUAGCUAAUAUUUGAAAGCUUUUACAAAACUUAGAAGAUAAGAAUGGAGAAGAAGAACUUUUGUUAUUAUUAUCAACUCAACGUUUACAAUCGUAGUACAUAGACUAUAUAAAGACAAGGCUCUCUAAUGAUAGUACGCCAGGUGUCCUUAGCUGCACAUGAUGAGAGCAUCAAAUCUGUUAUUGAGGAAGCUUCUUGGAAGGCUCCUUUGCGCUGAGAGCACACAACUUUUGUGUGUUGGUUUUGGCGGUAACACCUGAGAAGACUGAGAGAUGGGCUUUGACUGAUCUGAGAUCGAGUGGGCUUGUGGUAAAGGCCCAACUUCGGUUUUGCUUACCAAAGCCAAAACCUCUGUUUGAGGCAGAGUCUUCUUCUCUUCAAUACACCCCCUCAAACUUGUUGUCGGAGGAUUGGAGACACCAAGUUUGUAUCGCAAGGAAAAGAACGGCUCCUGAGCAAGGGACUUCGUGAAUAUAUCAGCCAGUUGAUGUUCAGCUGGAAUGUGUUUGACAACAAGAGCACCAUGUGCUACUCUUUCCCGGACAUAGUGGAAAUCCACAUCAAAAUGCUUGGACCGUGAAUGCAGGGCAGGAUUGGCUGUGAGAUAAACUGCAGAGAGAUUAUCAUAGUACAUUUCAGGAAUCUCAGAUUCAGGAAUACCUAGAGAUUGAAGCAGAGCAGAAAUCCAUUUGAGUUCAGAGGCUGCAAAGGACAAUGUUCUGUAUUCAGCCUCAGUGGAAGACUUUGAAACUGUUGGGUGCCUUUUUGCAGACCAGGAGAUGAUGUUGGUGCCAAGAAAAGUGCAAAAGCCUCCAGUUGAUCGUCUAGUGUCCUGGCAUCCAGCCCAGUCACUGUCACUAUACGCUCGUAGAGUAGAAUCUGUAUUGGCAUUGAUGUCAACUCCCAUAUGUAUUGUACCUUUUAAAUACAUGAGGAUACGCUUAAGAAGAUGGAAAUCAGCAACAGUGGGCUUGUGCAUCUUUUGGCACACAAAAUUCACUGCGAAUUGAAUAUCUGGUCUUGUUAACGUCAAGUACUGCAGUUUCCCAGCCAAACUUCGAAAAUAGGUAGGAUCUUCAAAAAUUUCAUCUUGUCCAGAGACUUUAUCAAGCUGAAGUGGUAAUGGAGUAGGCAUUGGUGCACAAUCAAGCAUUCCAGCUGUUACAAGAAGGUCUUUAGCAUACUUCUCUUGAUUCAAAAACAAACCAUCCUUGUGAAAAUGAGCUUGUAUUCCAAGAAAAUAAUGUAAUGGACCAAGAUCUUUCAUACGGAACUCUUCAUUCAGACAAACCAAAAACUCUUGAAUCAACUGAUCAUUGUUACCCGUGAGCACCAUAUCAUCAACAUACAGAAGAAGGAACAUCAUGUCAUUGCCUUUAAUGUAGACAAAGAGAGAUGGAUCUGGAAGACUGCAAAUGAAGCCGAAUUUUAAUAGAUACGUACUGAACUUAUCAAACCAAGCACGAGGAGCUUGCUUGAGACCGUAUAUAGCCUUUUUGAGUUUACAUACGAAGUCUGGUCUGUUAGCAUCUUCAAAUCCCGGAGGUUGUACCAUAUACACUGUCUCCUCUAGAUCACCAUGCAAAAAUGCAUUCUUUACAUCUAAUUGCUUAAUGUUCCAAUGUUGAGUGACUGCGAGAUGAAGUACAGAGCGUACCGUAGCAGUUCGCACCACUGGACUGAAGGUUUCAACAAAGUCAACCCCUUCUUCUUGGUCAUAACCCUUAGCAACCAGUCUUGCUUUCAACCUGUCAAGACUUCCAUCAGAGUGUAGCUUUGUUUUAAAAAUCCAUCGACAUCCGAACACAUUUUCAGCCAUAUCCGGAGGAACCAGAUCCCAAGUAUCAGUUUCAUGCAUUGUAGACAUUUCUUCUCCCAUUGCACUAGUCCACCCUGGGUCUUUCAAUGCAGACUUCACUGUCUUAGGCUCAGGAUAGUUUUCUUUGACCGUGAACAAUGCAUAUUUAGGAUUAGGCUUAACAAUUCCUGCCUUUGCUCUUGUAAUCAUUGGAUGAGAAGAUGAUGUUGCAGUAGAUGGAUCAACAGAGGAAGCUGCUGAAGUACUUUGUUGUUGAAGUAAUGGAGGAAAGUCACUUUCAGUAAAGAGAGAACCACAGUCUUCUGUUGUUUCUGGUAUAACUGGAUGAGUAAGUGUAGAAUUUGUAGUUUCCACAGAUGAUAUAGCCGGUGGUGAUGAAUGAGGAAGCUUAGAUGUGUCUAUCCUACUCGAAGAAACAUGAGAGCUGUUGCCUAUAGAAGUAGGAUCAAAGCCUAUCGUACCCCCAAUACUCUCAGUUUCUUGAAUAGGAGAAGACACAGCAGCAACAUUCUGAGAAUCAAUAGCAGUUGAAACUUUGGUAUUACCAGACUGCCAAGCUGAAAGUAAUGGAGUAUGAGCCUGAGACUUGUAGACAUUAUACUCCUCUGAAUAGGGAAAACGAUUUUCUGAAAAUAAGACAUGUCUACUUAUAUAAACUUUACCAGAAGGAGGAUGAAGACACCGAUAACCUUUAUAUUUCUCAUUGUAUCCCAGAAAAACACAAUGGAGAGACUUUGGAUCAAACUUGUUAACACCAUAAGGACGUAAGUAUGGGUAGCAAGAACAGCCAAAGACUCUUAAAGAGGUAUAAAUAGGAGGCUUCUUAUGCAAAACUUCAUAGGGACUGACCUUGUUGGUAAGAACAGAGGAAGGCAGUAGAUUACCUAAGAAGUUUGCUGUGAAAAAGGCUUCAACCCAUAGUUCUUGUGGAGCAAAGCUUUGAAAUAACAUAGACAAACCCAGUUCUGUAAUAUGCCUAUGUUUCCUUUCAGCAAGACCAUUCUGUUGUGGAGUAUAUGGACAUGACAUCUGCUGUUUGAUCCCUGACUUUGCUAGAUGAGUGACAAAUCUUGUACUAACAAACUCACCCCCUCCAUCACAUUGAAAACUCUGAAUCUUUAGUUGUAGUUGAUUCUCAAUUAAUUGUUGAAAAGUCAGAAACACUGAAUAGAAAUCAGACUUGCUCUUGAGAGGAUAAAACCAAGUGAAUCUUGAAAAGUGAUCAAUAAAUAUAACAUAGUAACGAAAUCCUUGAGGAGAAACAACCGGAGCAGGGCCCCAUAAAUCACAAUGGAUGCGUUCUAAGGGCUGAGAAGCAACAUAAUUUGAAGAAACAAAUGGAAGUCUACUGAUCUUCCCUAACUGACAAGCUUCACAUAGAUGAGAAGGUGCCUUAUUCAUUACUAUAGACUUAUUGCUUGAUAAGAGUUGCAGGAUCUCACUGUGUGGAUGUCCAAGUCUCCGAUGCCAGACUGCUUCACUGGUUAUUUGUUGACGAUUUGAGUAGAAAGUAUCAUGAACCUGAGAAUCCUUUAGCACGUAGAGAUCAUUGCGUCUGCUCCCUUUCAUGAGGAGCUGUUUUGUCUGCAGAUCCUUUAUUUGAACCGAAUGUGCAUCAAAAGUAACAGAACAAGGAUAAUCAGCUGUUAGCUUGGAGACUGACAAAAGAGAUUUUUUGAUAGCAGGACAAACCAAAACAUCAUCUAGUGGUAAAGUACCUUUCAGAGUAGUAGAACCAACAUGUGUAAUAGGCAGAAAAUCACCAUUGCCAACUAUCACUGAAUCUGCCCUUGCAUAAGGUUCAACACUCUGUAAAGCAGAAGGAGAGUUUGUAAUAUGUGCAGUAGCCCCACUAUCAGAGACCCAUUCAUUACCUGCUGCAUACUCUUGAUCAGAAACUCGCAUUGCAUUCAAAGCCUGAGCAAUAUCAGUGUUGUAGUAGUCUUCUUCAAACCGAUGAUAACACUUGUAAGCAGAAUGUCCAAACUUCCCACAGAUUUGACAUGUAGGUCGGUUAUCAGCUUGAGAACCAGUGCUAAACUGCUGCUGAAAACCUCUACCAUGAGUUGAAUAGGAUCCCGAACCUCUACCUCCUCUGUUACCUCCUCUUGAUUGACCACGACCUCUGUUGUUACCAGAAUAUCCACCUCUAUUAGAGUAUCCUCCUCUAUUGUUGUUGGACUGAGAUGAAGAAUAUCCAGGCUUGUCAAAAUAAAAGGCCAGAUGUGGAGUAACUCCUGUUGCAGACUCAUAUUGUUGAAUCUUAUCAUCAAAGUUUGUGAGUUUAAACUCAACAUCUUCAAAACAUGGACCAGGAUAGGAUUCCAUAGAUUCUUCAAUCACAGUACUAAUGGACUCAUAUUCUUUCCCUAAACCAGUCAAUGCACCAGAUAUCUUUUCAUGUUCAGAAAGAGGAGCACCAAUAGAAUCAAGUUGAUCACACAGAGAUUUUAUUUCAGCUAAAUAAACAGCCAUAGUCUUGCCUACUUUUGUUGUUGAAUGAAUCUUCUUCUGGAGAUCUAACUUUCUAGUAGCAGAGACUCGGUUAUACUUUUUAGCCAGAGAAAACCAUACCUCUUGAGAUGAACGAAGACCAUACACACUCUUAAGAGCAGUUUCUGAAAGAGAUCCAAACAGCCAGGCCAUGACUAGCUGAUCUGAUUGUAUCCAUCUCACAAACUCUGGAUUGCUGAUCUCUGUAGCUUGGCCAUUGUUAUGAACCACCAGUGUUGGAGUCGGACGUGAAAUCGCCCCAGUAACAAACCCUAAAAGCAUCUGACUUGACAAAAAUUGCUCAAACUGUAAUUUCCAGAGCAAAUAGUUGUUGUCAGUAAGCUUUAGAGUCACACACUGAGAAAUGGUAACAGUAGGUCUAUAAAAGGUUGUAGCAUCAGAUUGAUGCUGAGCUUGAAAAGAAGGUGAUAAAGAUGGAGAUGGUGAAGGAACAUGAAAUGAUGGAGGUGGUGGAAGAUUCAUAGAUCCAGAAGGAGACUGAGAAAAGAUGACAGCUGCAGUCUGAGGAAUAAGAACUGCAGGAUUUGAGACUGGUUGAGAACUCAUAGAUUGAGAACUCAUAGAUGCGGAAGAAGAGCUAUCCAUGGCUCUGAUACCAUGAAAGCUUUUACAAAACUUAGAAGAUAAGAAUGGAGAAGAAGAACUUUUGUUAUUAUUAUCAACUCAACGUUUACAAUCGUAGUACAUAGACUAUAUAAAGACAAGGCUCUCUAAUGAUAGUACGCCAGGUGUCCUUAGCUGCACAUGAUGAGAGCAUCAAAUCUGUUAUUGAGGAAGCUUCUUGGAAGGCUCCUUUGCGCUGAGAGCACACAACUUUUGUGUGUUGGUUUUGGCGGUAACACCUGAGAAGACUGAGAGAUGGGCUUUGACUGAUCUGAGAUCGAGUGGGCUUGUGGUAAAGGCCCAACUUCAGUUUUGCUUACCAAAGCCAAAACCUCUGUUUGAGACAGAGUCUUCUUCUCUUCAAUAAUAUUUUGUGGACUCUGUUGAUUCUUUUAAGUUUUAACUAAAUUUUUUUAAAUCCAAACCGACUGAAGGAAAAACUGAAUGCCCAAGCUUUUUCUAUUGCAUGAUAGCAUGACCAAAGAAAGUAGUUGUAUGUCAAGCAUAUUGUCUCUUAAGUAUUAACGCCCAUGCAGUUGUAAAUUAAGCUAGAGAUUUUCGUCCGUUUAUUAUGCAUAAAUUUAAGAUAUGAAUACUUAUUUCAUGAUAUUCCAUAUCUAUUUCUACUAAAUAAACAGUCACUUUACUAAAAACUGCCACACUCUUCUUCUGACACGUGGCAAAACUUUCAAAUUUUGUUGUUUCACUUUCGUAAUCCAUUUUUCCUGAAUUUUUUGACAAAAAAUAUAUAAAAUAUCUUACCACUUUCUUUCUUAGUAACUUCUUCUUCUCUUCUUUUCCAUAACCUUAGAUCCUCCAUUCUUUCUUCGAAAUCCUCCAUUUUUUCUCAUAUUUUUUUUAAAUGAGAAGUCGAGAACCAUCCACUAUCUUUUAAUAUUUUUUUGUUUUAAAUCUAUAUUAAAAAAAUCCACGUUUUUAUUUUCUUCAUAAUCCACGAUCCCUAACACAACUUCAAAUCUCAAAAUCGUUUUAUUGCAAAUGCAGAUGUAGCAGUACUUACUUUUAAUGUAAAAACAGUUCCUAAUCAGGCCUCAAAAUCGUCCUUCAUGCUCGACCACGAGUAUAAUGCGUCCAUCAAUUCCCGGUCCAUCCUCGGCGUUUAUUCAAUACAAGUAAGUUUUGAAAACAAAGUUUGAAUUUUUGUUUUCCUUUCGUUUUUCAUUUCAUAUUCGUUCUUUUCUCCUUCUUUUUUUCUAUGAUUUUACUUUGCUUUUUAUUAGACAGCAAGAGAACAAAAAGUUUGGAUCCUCAAGCUUAGCUUCAAAGAAAUUAAAAUAUUAUUAGAUCCUCAAACCAUGAUUGGAUCAUCAAAUCAAGGUUUCAAUGAAGAAGUUAUUUUUAGAACGAAAUGGAAAGAGAAGCAUGUUCGGUUUGCUAGGAAAUUCGGAGAUGGAGCAAAGACUUUCCACAACCAGUAACGUAUAGAUUGACUUUUUAUAUUUAUAAUUAUGUAGUACGCUCACAAAGUUUGUCGUAUUUCAUCAAUAAUUUGUUUGUUUCAUAUAUUUUUUUUAACUAUAUAAGAUAAUGGAUUCAAUGCACUUCUAUUUUAAAAAAAAAAACUAAAAACAAUAUAUAUUUAAUUUUCCCAAAACAUUUUGAAUUAUGAUGUAAAUUAGUAUUUAUUUUAUCCAUGUAUAGCAGGGGCAUAAUAUUAGUUAUUCGUUAAUGCACCAUGCAUAUUAUAUUAUUCUUGAUUCAAAUGCAUGAAUCGAACAUAAUUAGUCUUGUUUAGCCCAUAUUAUACUUAAUCCAUGUGCUCCAAUCGGAAUUCAGUCGUAAGUUUCUUAAAGAACCUUUAUCAUCAAAAAAACUAACAUUAAUGGUUAUUUUCCAUACAUAUAAAUUGAAACAAACCUUAAAAAAAAGUUAAUCAAGAUUCAAACACUUUAUCGUACUAAAUUGUAUGUGGGUCUUACUAAAUUUAUUCUAUACCAAACAAAUCAAUAUUGCAAGAGGUUAAUUUAGUCCCAGAUUAACAUAGUUAGUAGCAAAUUUUUCAUGUAUAUAUGAAUUUUGUUGAAAGGGACACAAAAUAAAUAACUAAUAGAGAUAGGUUUAUCUCAUAAAAAGAAAAACUAUGAGGGAUAAUAUUAUCCCACAUUGGAAAGGACAAGGGAUCUUGACUAGUAUAUAAGAUAUAUGGGUCUCUCCACUCAUCGCCAAUUGGUUUUGAGUUGGAAGCCCAUAUUCUAGAUUGGCUCUAGCCAUUGAUCUCGGUAUGCUCGUGCAUGGAUCGUCGGGCAACUAUUGGUCGAUGGUGGAUUGGAUUUGGACAUGUACGGAUCGGACUCUGAUACUAUAUUAGAAUAUGGGCUUCCAACUCAAAACCAAUUAGCAAUGGGUGGAGUGACCCAUAUCCUUUAUAUAUUACUUAGGAUCUCUUCCAACUUCCGAUGUGGGAAAUUAUGUCCUAAUAAAAACAAGUAUCUUAAAAGAAAAGGGAAAAUUAGUGACAACCAGAUGAGAAUAGGAUUAAAGUGUUUUUAGUGUCCUACAACCAUGUGGCGGUUGACAUCGUCCAGAUUAUAAUUGUCAUCCAUACUUCCUUGUCUUAAAAGUGAUCUAAUAACAGUGUCAAAAUGAUAACUUCGUCUUCUUCUUCUUUUGUAUUAUAGGACAAUUGCGAAGAAAAUUCCCAAUUUUGUAUAUACAGUAAAACCUCUAUAAAUUAAUAAUGUUAGGGCCAUAAAAUUUUAUUAAUUUAGAGAGGUAUUAAUUUAUAGAAAGAUUUUCCUAAUUUGGUAAUUUCUUAAAAAUUACCAUCUAAAAAUAAAAAAUUUCUUUAUAAGCAAUAUCUUUUUUAAACCAAUUGUAAGUAGAGAAGCAAUUAUUAAGUUUAAAAAACAACACAAAUUUUUUUUAAUAAUAGAGUCAUAUUUCAUUAAAAAUUUUACAUAUAAUAUUUUAAAUAUAUAUCGUAGUAAUUCAUAUAUGAAAUAUAUAAAUUUAUAUCAUAUAUAUAUUAAGUUAAAUAUACAUAUAUAUAUAUAUAUAGGUUUAUAUAAUUAUUAAUUUAUGAUAUAGAUGGGACUAUACGUUUAUAUGAGAUUUUCAAAAAAAAUAUUAUCUUAUUAAUUUAGCGAGUUAUGUCAUAUUUUACAUUGGUCCCAACUCGGGACCGGAAGAAUUUAUUAAUUUAGAGAGGUUAUUAAUUUAUAGAAUAUUAAUUUAUAGAGGUUUUACUGUAUCUCAAGAUUAGUUUCGUUUUAUAGUAACAAAUGAAAAGACUUUGAAGUGUGACCUAUUUAAUAUGUGAUCAUCAUCGGUUAGCAGGCUAGAAAAAUAUUGUACUUAUGUAAAUUAAUUUUGCAUAUUAACUGUUGCAUGUAGUGAUAUAUGUAAGUAUGUAACUAUGUAAAUAAGGUUCCAAUAAGAAUAAAUUUAAGUGCAUGUCUUCAAAAAAUGAGUUCUUUUAAGUUUCUAUAAACUUGUCAGAAACUUAUUUUUUUCAAUCAUGCAACACAACUAAUAAAGUUAUAAAGAAAAUAUGACUGGACCAUUAGAUAGCUAUCGACUUUUUGAAUUAUUGCUAAAUGCUCUAUCCUUGAACAUGUAAAAUAUAUAUAUAUAUAUAUAUAUAUAUAUAUAUAUAUAUAUAUAUAUAUAUAUAUAUAUUUGUGGCUAAAAAUUGUUGAAAUCAAUAAUUUGAAUGUGUAGAACCUUUUUUCAGUUUUUUUUUUCUUGAAUUAUUUAUAUACUUCUUUGAAAGUACAUAAAAAAUACAGUAUCCUAAAAUAAAACGAAGGAAAUAUAAGAUUAUGUGUCACGGUUAAGUAGACCGUAUUAAUUAGAGUUUGUACCGGUAAACCGGAUGUGGUUAUUUCACUAUAUAUUCUCUACCACAUGUAACAGAUCAUUUGUGAGAAAUACAAACUUUUAUCUUUUCUUCGAUUUCUCACGAAUAUUAAUAUGGUAUAAGAGCACAAUUCUUCCGUUUUUCGUCGCAAAUUCCGCCAAUUCUUCGAGUUUACUUCAUUAUCAUCUCCAUCAUCGAUUUCAUCCAUUUCCACCAAUUUUUCUUCGUUUUCUUGAAUUUUUCACUUUUCCGAUCAAAAUCCGCUGAAUACGAUGGUUGCUGUUCACAAUUUACCGCGUCGUACUCUGUGAUCACGUCGUUCAGAUGAAAGAACUCCUCCUAUACGCGAAUCAACUCCGGCUUCAUCGCCAGUGGCUCAUAAUUCUCCGAUUUUCACUCAAAUGGCUUCCGAUCCUCCGAUUGAUUACACGGAUUUGUACUCUCAUUAUGCUUUGACGAGUGGAGACAAUCCGGGGAAUGUUAUCAUCACCGAGGUAUUAGAUGGAACCAAUUAAUCUUCUUGGACUAUCGCUAUGUCUGUUGCACUCGAUGCGAAGAACAAAAUGGCUUUUAUCGAUGGAUCUCUUCCUCGACCUCUUGCUACAGUCACUAGUUUUCGUUAUUGGUCUAGAUCAGUGGCGGAGGUAGGGUGUUAGUAGGGGGUCACUUGACCCCCAUAACUUUUAGAAAGUUUUGUUUAUUAGGCUUAAUUAUUUGGUAUUUGUUAAUAAUUUUGUUUAAAAUGUUAAUGUUGACCCCAUUAACUUAUCUUCAAAUCAUGUUUUUGCACCCCUUUUAUUAAUUUUUUUUUCUAUUGACUCCUGUCAAAUUUAUUUCUGGUUCCGCCACUGGUCUAGAUGUAACAGCAUGGUGAAGUCUUGGAUCUUGAACACUGUGAGUAAACAGAUCUAUAAGAGUAUUCUUCGCUUUGAUGAUGUGUCUGCAAUUUGGAAGGAUAUUGUCCCACAUUGGUUGAGUUUGUGAUUUUUGGGUAGUAUAUGUGUUAUGGCAAUCCUUCUCCUUUGAGCUAGCUUUUGGGUGUGAGUUAGGCCCACACUAAUAUGGUAUCAAAGCCCAGACCUAAUUCUGAUUGUGGACCACCCGUGGAUGUCUACUCCCACAAACUUCACGCUUCAGAUAUCCAGUCUUGAGCGUGAAGGGGGUGUGAGAAUAUUAUCUCACAUUGGUUGAGUUUGUGAUUCUUGGACAGUAUAUAUGUGUUGUGGCAAUCUUUUUCCCUUGAGCUAGCUUUUAGGUGUGAGUUGGACCUACAAUAAAAAAAAUAGGAUGCACGUAGACAAAUUUACUCUCUACUUUUAAAAAAUGACUGGUCCAUGGAAGUUGCUUAGGUAAGCAAAAAUAUUAUAUUAACGUUUGUUAUUACUUGUAUUAAAAACUAACAACUAAUAUGUGUAAUUAUAGUAUCACAUCCAUAGGUCAAUCUGUUGUCUACACUCAUUUAUACCAUUUGAAACUACUAUCCACAUUUAGACUAACUUGCGAAACCGUUUUGUUUUUGCAUCUAACUUGCACGCAUAUGUAUGCACUGGAAAUUUUAAAAAUUCUACACAUAAAGUGAAGGACUACGUACACCCUUUUUUCUUUAGACCAUCCAGCCAACAAAACUUCCCUCCAACAUAAAAGCAUAUGGUAUAUAUAUAUAUCCUAUUGAAAUAACAGUUGGAUGGUGCCAUCAUUGUUUACUUGACUCUUGACUAUACCUUUCAAAACAUUACUAAGCCUUUGAAAAGUCAGUUUCAUCGCAAUCAGAUUUGGUGUUCAAGAUCGAGCCAUUCCUAAAAACUACCUAAAAACCAUGUUGAAAUAUAUAAAUUUAGACAUAGUUGUGGUCAACAUAUUUUACUAAAAUUACAAAAGAAGUUUGUAGGAAUCGUGUGAACUAACUAAAGAUUGUUACGGCCGGUAAAAUAUAAAAAUUAUAUUCCUUAUUAGCAAAUUUAAACCGUAUAAUUGAAGGAAAAAAAACGUAGAAAACAAUAAAGGAAUAAUUGGCACGACGUUAAGCUUAACUUUACAUGGAAUGAUAGAGAGAAAAGUAGAGAUUUCACAUCAAUUAUUUCUAUUUUUUCCUUUUUCUUUGCAUUGCUUUAGUGAUAAUUCACAUUAAUUGGCAAUACACACCAUGUGAGAAAUAUUCAAAGGAACAGAAUAGGACAAGCUCCAAAGAUAAUUGUUUACCUGUCACUUGUCUUGUCCCACUUUCUAAUUGUAUUUGAUAACUCUCUUAUCAUUGUUUUCUACAGUUUUAUCAUUAGUUAGUCACUAUUAUAUUACCAAAAUUAGUUUAGUAAUAGAUUAAGUCAAGGUUAUAUAUAUUCCUAACUACUAAAUGUACAAUAUUAGAUUAUUCAAGUAAACGAAUCAAUUUAAGUUCAUUGAUUAAAAACUUGGCAGGACACGGCCGGCUGAAACCUACCACCCCUACUUGAUCCACAAUCUUUGGUAAGAUAAGACUAAUUAAACCCAUGGGAAGAUACUAAUUAAUUUUGUUUUUCCUUUUAAAAAAUUAUUGAUCUAAGUAAGGUUCACAAUCUUUGGUACUAAGAAAAUUAAUUUAAGUUGGAAAUAAAAAUUAGAAUGAUAGUUAUAAUAAGUUAAAUAAGUUUCGAUAUAAACAAUCAAAACAUGUUCAAAUAACAAAAAAUAUAACUAUAAAUAUUUAACUUUUUAUAUCUAUUCUAUAUAACAAAUAAGUGCUUCAUCUUCAAUGAUACCAAGAAAAUAUGAUUGAAUAUAGGUUAAAACUUUAUUUAAUUCCGAUGUAGUUAAUUAUCUCAUCCAUGUACUAAAACUCUUUUCUUUUGUUAUCUCUAUUGCUCUCAUUGUAAAAUAAGUAGUAUUUAAACAAGAAUUACUAAAAUGAAAAACACACACCUAAAUCACUUAUAUUUUUUUUUCUGUUAAGUACUCCUAAACUAUUUAAACAAAUGCACAUAAAUAUCUUAAUGGUGAUAGUUUAUCAAUAAAGUAUCUGAAAUUAGCAUCCUCUUAUUAAAAACAAAUCUAAAUUUUAACAUUAAAAAAAAAAAAACACAAACUAACAAAUCAAACAAAACACAAUUACACCACAAUAGUCUAAAAAAUAAUAAUACUGGCAUGGGAUCCACAAAACACACUGUCAGAAAAUCUUCAGAGUUUCAGAGAACAAGAAGAAGAAGAAGAAUAAAACAGUAAAACCAGAAAACAUAUCUAUUCUUACAUUUUAUCUCUUCUUGUUCUUGUCUCUUCCAUUACCAGAAAACAUCGAACCAAAACCAAACAAAUUCCCAGAAGGAACAACGUUUAUAACCGGACUCACUCUAAUCCCACCACCUCCAUGACUACCAUAACUAUAACCUCCAUAGCUUUUCUUCAAUGGUGGUUUCGAAAAACCAUUAUUACUCAACGAAGACGAAGCAGAGGAAGAAGAAGACAACGAUGAAGAUUGUUGUAGCUUCACAUGUUCGUUGUGUUUCCUUGAGCUGCUCUGUUUUUGUUUACUCGACGUUGAACCGGUUGAAUUACUCCGGUUUAGUAACGGUAACGGACAUAAACUCCGACCAUAAGUACUUCCACAGUUUAAACUACUGCUUCUCUUAAACCCCCAAAACGACUUCGUAUUGGUUUUCUCCUCCGUCGUGAUUAUCACGUCGUCUUCUUGUUGUUCUUCGUUUUGUUUCCUCUGUUUUCUUGAAUCUGGUUUAGUCUUAACCGGUUUUGUAUCUUUCGAUUCGGGUUCUUUUUUUCCCGGUUCUGGUUUUUUCUUGAUUUCUGUUGGUAAGAUUUUGCCGUUAGAGAAGAGUUCAUCAGCGGACCAAGAACCUUGAUCGAAGCUUUCGCCGGAAUUUACGCCGCCGGGAAUGCAGAAAUCGAAAUCAAUGCUUGAAUUGAGGCUUGACGGUUUAGAGUUUGAUGAUCUUAAGGGACGUUUCUCGAUUGGUAUUGCGUCUGAUUGACAAAAGUCACGUGAAAAUGAGAUUCUUGGACUCAUAUUAGAAUUUUCCGAUAAAAGAUCCACCGCCAUUUUCUUGAAGAAGAAGAAUUUGAAAGGUUUUUUUUUAUAUAUAGUAAAUGAGAAUUUAUGAAAACGAAGAGAUUUUUUUUUUUAGUUUCUGGAGAAAAAGAGGAGAAGGAGAAUUUCGAAGAAGAGAGAAAGAGAGAGAUUUGGGGAGGAAGGUGAAUUUAAUUAUUUUUAUAGGUGAUUUUAAAGAAAAUGAAAUUAGGAAUUAAAAUGAGAAAAUAAUGAAAUUUAGAAUUUUUUUUUUUGUGAAAAAGAGAAAAAGGAGAAUAAAAAAUGGUAAUAAAAGAGGGGACAAAGAAGCGUGUCGUUUGCUACAUAUUCACAUGCAUGGGCCAAAAAAUGGAUAUAUGUUGGUUCUUCACUUUCGUACCUUUUUUUUUUUUCGAAUGGUCUAAUUUUUUAUGUAAAAUAUUGAAACUUUUGAUUGAGAUAUAUUGAAACUUCUGUAAAAAAAAAUUGUUGAAGUCAAAAGACAUGGGCAAAAACUGCAAUGUUUGAAAUGUUUAGAGAGUAAAAUGUUCAGAUUCGUGUUGACCAAUCUGAUGAAGCAGUGAAUAUAGACCAAUGGUGUAAAGUUCACCGACCCAAGACUUUAACAACACAAUUACUAAAUUUGUCUAGGACAUUGUGAAGUUAAGGAGAUAAGUUUGUGGUAAGAGGUAUAAAGGAGAGGAAAAAAAAAACUAAAUUGUUUGGGUAUUGUUCAUGCAAGAUUUUUUUAAAUCGUCAUGAUGCGAGUUUUUUUUUUUUUAAUAAUUGUUGUGGAUCGUUUAUUGGAGAAAUAAAAUAUAUUUGUAUUACAGAAAAUAUAACCAACCAAAGUCAUUUAGACCACUAGGACAAGUGUGAUGUUUUCCGAAUAUCUCUUCUACAUUUAAGUAAGAAAACGUUUAUUCGAUUUUUGAAAAGCAAUGCUUUCUAAGUUGUUUGUUUAGUUCGGUCCCUUUAGUUUUUUGGGGUCAGUUUUAUGUGUAAGAAUUAGUCUUUUAUGUCAAAUUCUGGAUUUGGAUUCUCCAUUCUCUUUAGGUGGAAUUUUGUUUUUUUAAAAAAGAAGUAUUUAGAGAGUUUACCGAGUUUGGAUAUCGGAUCACCAUAUUUCAGGGUAGAUGGAUCAGUCACUUAUCGAUCUUUCGCAUAGUUCGUAAGUUUGGUGACUAAUGACUCUAAAGCACGUUACAAAACAUGUGUUCGAUAAGUUAGGGUAAUAUAGCAUCGCUACUGCUUUAUACGAGAAUGUUGCAUCCCAUUGAACAUUUACUUCACGUUUAAUAAGGUCGAGCACUAGCCAUUCUUCGAAUUUGAUGUAUUCAGGAUGAUAUUUACAUAGGAAAUCAGUUACCAGAAAGUCUUUUUGCAUGUUUGACACCCAAUUAUCACAACCUGAAAUGUUGGUGCUUUUGAUUGAAAUUUACCCCAACAAUAUUGUUACUGCUAAAACUAUUAGUUGAAGUUAGCCAAAAACAUUCAACAACCUCAAUUAAUUCGAUAUUUAAACAUUUUGAUCCAACCAUUUAUUUGCAAUGACUAUACCGACCUUACUGAACCGUACCAACUACAUUUAUCUACGAUGCUUUUUAUGAGUAUUGAAUUAGGAGCUAAACGAUACAAAUGUUGCUGUCUUAUUAUUCAGUUUUUAAAUUAUUAACCUAGUUUGUUCUUGUCUUUACUAAUUUAGAAUAUCCGUUUAUUUUUAAGAUUCUCAGUUUAGGUUUAAUUUAAUGGUUAGGUGAGAAAUUAAUUAUAAGUACAAAAAUCAUAAUAAAAUCAAUAAGGGUGGCAUUGUUGAUGAUAUUUACCUCCAAACUAAUUUAUAAAAGUCAGACACAAUUGUCAAAUUUAUAUAUCAAGAACAUAGUUUUCUUUAUAAGUAGACCAUAAUACAAUUUCGUUGUUAUCCACUUUUGUAAAAUAUGAAAUGUAUAUAUCAAAGAUUUGUUUUUUUUUUAAUUGUCGCUAAUUGUGCGUUUUUGUUCCUUUCAAAUUUGGAUUAUAUAUUUAUUUUCUAUAUAUAUAUAUAUAUAUAUAUAUCUUAUGUAUAUAAAAAAUUUAUUUUUGAUAGAGAAAUGAACUUCUUUGUAUUCUAAUAGAUGGCUCUUUUGUGAAAGAAAAGUCUAUAAUUCUUUAUUUAUACUCUUUCUUUAUUUAAUAUGAUGAGUCAUGCAAGUUUGCUUUUCAUAAAAUUGAAAUCGAUUUUUUCUUAAAUUUGAAGUAAAGAAAUUGUUAUAAGAUAGAAAUAAAGAAAGGGGAAAAGGAGAUUUCACAUUAUCUAGAAAAUAAAAGGGAAUUUUAAAAAUUAAUUAAAAAAUUUGGGAAUUAUAUGAAAAAAAUAGAAGACAAAGUAAGCAUGGCCAUGGGUCCGAUGGCUACGUAUUUACCGAAAACGAAGAAUCCCACUAAGGGAAGUGAAGGGUUAAGAGAUGGUCCACGUUUCCUACUAAAACAUUUUCCUAUCCAUUUGGAUCACCCACGAGCCCACCUUGAAACCAACCCGACCCGAUUCGACCCAACCAAGAAUUGCCUACUUUGGCUGCUCUCGAUAAUACUAACAGGAACUUGUCCAAUUCCGUUAGGGUUUGGUUAUGAUGACGGACCCAAGAAAUAUCGGAUUUUUCUGAUCCUAGUAAACAAUAAAGAUGGUCCAGUCCGACAAAUAGCAUUGGUGAUGUUUUUUGCUGACAAUUACCGAACACUAAUAAUAAAACUGCUUUUGUUUUCUACAUAAAUUUUAUAUAUAUAAGAAGAAGAAAGCUCUCCAUGUUAUGAUACUUGAGCAUCCAAAAUGAAGAUAGACAUAAACAAUCAAAAUUUGUCUAAUGAAAACUUAUUAUUAUUUUUUUUUUCAUCUGAAAACUUAUUAUUUUUCUCCAAAAUUUGAAGUCUAUUCAUCUUCCUUUUUUUUCUUCUAAAGAAACGUUACAUGUGUUUUUUUACAGAAAUAUCUAGCUAAUAGAUUACAUAGUACUAUUUAAUAUUUAUAUACCAUUUAAUAAUCUUAUAAAAAAUCUUUGAAUAAAGUAGUUAAAUAAUUUGGUAAAGUAUAUAUUUACAUGAUCACAUCUAUAAAUACACAAAUCACGUAUAAGUAUACUCCCUCUAUUUCACAAAGAGUGUCAUUCUACCAUUUUUCACACAAAUUAAGAAAACUAAACAAAUGUAAUUUUUACCCCAUAUUAAUACACUAGAUAAUACCUUUUAUAUAAUUAAUAAGCUGAAAUAGUAGGGAUAAAAAGAGAAUUAAUCUUAAAAACUUCACUGAAAACGUAAAACGACACUCUUUGUGAAACAAAUUAAAACCUUAAAACGACACUCUUUGUGAAACGGAGGGAGUAUUUGGAAUUUCAAAUUUUGUCACAACAUCAUUAACUAAAUGUUUGGCACGAAAAUUUGUACCGAACCGCAAUAUACCACAUAUGUAAACAAUGUUUCCCAAAAUUGGUUCUUUAAUUUUGAGCUAAUCAAUUAAAGUUGUUGACAAAAAAAAUUAUAACUAAAUGAACUACAUAAGCCAUUAAUAAUAAUUAUGAACUACAGAAGAUAUAUAAUUAGGGAAAAAUAAUGAUCAAAUGAACUGAAUUAUAUAGAAUGCUCAUGAAUUGGUAUUUUUAGAAUUGAAACACAAUGAAAGUUAUAUUCUUUUUCGAAAUAAUUAUGUUUUUAAUUAUACAACAGAAGAGAAUAUAAGGCGGAUUAGGCUUCGGUGACUUAUUAUCAUUCAGAAUUUUUUUUCUUUUUUGUUAAAAUCUUUUAUCAUUUUGAGUAAGCUCUCUUAGCUAAUCAAGUUUGGAAGCUACAUCAUAGACCAACUAGUUUCGUAUACAGAGAUCUACACGGACACUACUUCUCACGAGGGACGUUGUUAACGGCUAAAGAAGGAUCAUAAGUCACAACCAUCUUAUGGUUGGACCUCCCUUCUAGGAGGUCGUGGUGUGCUACUUACUGUGGCUCAAUGUUAUAUAGGCAAUGGUAGAAGCAUCAGAUUGGGUCAGGAUACAUGGCUCCCGACAAUGCUAUAGACUACCUCCACUUAAUGUUGAUCCGAACUUACCACUUUCAAGUUCUACUCCACACAAGUACGGAACUCUGGAAAGAGGAUAUGCAUGCAAAUCUAUGUCUCAAAUGAACAUAAUGAGGAAUCUUUUUCUCUCAUACUAUAUGUGAAUUUGGAGAGUUUCAGAAUAUAUUUAAAUCCAUAAUCAGAUUAUAAUUUACACUCACCGAAUCCAUGAUAAGAUGUCGGAGAAACAAUCGAUACUUGGCAAAUAGAUUAUUAUUCACAUAAAAGAGAGACAAAAAAAUAUUGAAAAGAAUUUCAGAAUCCAUGUAAUUUUACAUCAUAUUUUCUGGACAAAUGUGUUAAGUUAUUGCUUUUUCUAUGUGAGAGUCACUAAGAAAGUGUUUACCUCUAGUCUAAGAUUCUGAGUUACACAUGGAAUUGUAUGAAAUUGGACAUCAAGAGAAUGAGUUACUAAAGUGAAUUCCUCCAAGUCAAUUGAAUAAACAGCCAAUUCAAGAGAUUAUAUACAUACAAUGAUGGUGAUAAAAUCUUUAUUGAAAAGAAGCUCAAUUAUAUAUCUAUACAUGAAGUUCUUAUGAAUUUGUUUGCAUAAUGUACUUCUAUAGGAGAAUUUUUAUACAAUACUGUCUUUAACCACCUCCAUUAUCAGAUCACAAGUUCCACUCUAAGAAUCCAUUGAAUUAUAUACCUGAGAAAUGUGAUAUCAAGAGAAAAUUGCUUAAACUAAGUUUCUGGUCAAUGUAUGUAGAUAAUUCUGUUCUGUAGGAGAGUUUUUGUAUCAAAAUAUGUGUUUAACAGAUUUUCAAAUGAUUCAUACUUUUUUUAUAUCCAAUAUUGAUGAAGAGUUACUCUGAUAAUCUUAAAAGUAGGUUAUGUAAUGUGGGAACAUGUUAAGAAAGAAAUAUUGAUCUCUUUAUUCCUUAACCAGCGCAUAGUACAAUAUUCAUGGAGAGAAGACUAGAACACAAUUUCUAGCUUCAGCUCUCAUCAAUCUCACAUGCGAGAUUUUGUACAAUCAAUUGCAUAAUAUAUCCUCUCUAAAAAAUGAGAGAUCCUAUCUAUACUACAACUGUAAAAAAUUUUGUUCAAAGUAAUUCGUAAUUAGUCAAUUUUACAUCCAUCAAUUUAAAUAUAUCUCUUAACGUAUAAGACAUACAUAAUAAAGAAUAUCAAUGCUAAACAAGCUCGCUGGAAAAGAUAAGAACACUACUAUAUAAAGUAUAACCCAAAGAUGAUAUAUGGAUUUAGCUAGACGUGAUUCUCCUCAAAGCUAGGGUAGAAUUUCUCGGAAGCCAUGUUUAAUGGAACAAUCCUAUUUCUUAUGAGAUAUGUUUUUCAAGUUUCCGUGCACAUUAUUUGGAGAGAACGAAACAAGAAACGACAUGGCAAACAACCCACCUUACCGACAAUACUUAACCAAGUCAUCGACCACAUAGCUCGAAAACAAAUAUCAUCUCUUCUCGACUUGAGCUCUAACAAAUUCGAGGACGGACUUCGUAUAAUUUGGUUUGGCUCUAGAAAUUCUCAGGGAAUCUUUCUAAAAAAGGUUACAUUCAAUGUAAAAAUGGUUUUUUUUUAGUGAAUAAAAUUUACAUUCAUAUAAAAAAAAGAAUUUUUUAUGUGCUUAUUUUAUAAAAUUCUUCUCAGUAUCACAAGACUUCAAAAAAACAUUGUCAAUUCAUACAAAAAUUUCUUUGAAAAUUUUGAUAGGAUCAAUUUCCUACCACUUUUCUACAAGGUUGUCACAGAAUAAUUAUUUCGUAGAAAAAUGGAAAGAAAGUUUUAGAGAAAAAAGUCAUAGAAAAUUUUCUACGAAACUCAUACAAAAUAUAUAGCCGUAGGAAAUUUCGUAAAAAAUUGGAAGAAAAGUCAUGGGAAAGGCAGUGGUAGAAAAUUUGAAGGAGCAACUUCUUUCCAAAUUCAUACGAAACGUUUCUCGUAAGAUUUCGAAUAAAUCUAGUAGGAAAUUCGAAGAAAAAUCAUGGGAAAAAGCCGUGGUAGGAAAUUCGAAGGAGCACCUCCUUCCAAAUUCCUAGGAAAAGUUUUUCGGAGGAUUUCGAAGAAAUCUCAUAUGGAAUUGGAAAUGGUCAUGGGAAAAGACAUGGUAGGAAAUUCGUAGAAGAAAGUUCAUUCCAAUUUCCUAUGAACUGCCUCUCAUAGUAUUUUUGAAGGAAUGUGGUAGGAACAUUAUACCAACAAAUUUUGUCGUAGGAAAUUUCCUACGACAAAAUUUGUUGGACAUUUAUAAACAUGUGAAAAAAUGAUUGUCUGCCAAAUAGGUGGAUAUGGGUAGGUUGGUGUAAUAGUAUAUAUUUUCAAAGGAAAUAGGUAGGUAAUCUAUAGAAAAUUGAAACUCUUUUUCUUAAUAUAAACUCCAUUCACAUUCGUUAAAAUUACAACAAAAACAAAAAUAUCAUCUACAACAAAACAAUUUUCAUUCCAAAAAAACUAAAAAACAUUUCAUACAACAAAAAACACAGAAUUAAUUUCUAUAAAAAAAAAUACCAAAAAUAUUCUAUAUGCUCGAAUAAAAAAAAGCAUCUUUUUCGGACAUGGAUAGACUAGGAAAGAUUUGCAUCUAACGUGUUAUUUACGACCAAGUAUACGGCAUGCCUCACCGAAUUCAUUACCCUCACAAUGAUCAGGAGUCUUGCUUAAAAAGUGGUAGGAUGUUUUUUCCUUAUCUAAUAUAUGAUAAUAAUGCAUUUGUCAAUAAAACUUUAGUGUGGUCACAUUUAUAUAGAGACGGAAUUAUGCAGAGAUACAAAAUCUGGUGUUAUCACUGGGAAAGUGAUACAUACCAUGUGGGUACUACUAGCGAAAAUGUCCCAGAUAGGGUAGAAGAAUCUACAUUCGCAGAAGAGGCGGUAGGUACGGUUCAAAUGGUACACAAUUUCCUAAAUGCAUCGUGAACCAUUUGAACCGUACCUACCUCUUCUUCUGCGAAUGUAAAUUCUUCUACUCUAUCUGGGAUAUUUCCACUCGUACUACCCACGUUGUAUGUAUCACUUUCCCCGUGAUAACACCAGAUUUGUAACUCGACAUAAUUUUGUCUCUCUAUUUGACCACACUACAACCUUAUCGCUAAAUGCAUCACUAUCACAUAUUAGACAAGGACAAAACAUCUUCCCAUUUUUUAAGCAAGACUCCUGAUUCAUUGUGAGGGUCAUGGAUUCAGUGAGGCUUGAUGCAUACUCUGUCUUCAGCAACACGUUAGAUGCAAAUCUCUCAUUUUCUAUCCAUGUCCGAAAACGAUGCAUUUUUUAUUUAACAAUAUAGAAUAUUUUUAAUAUUUUUGAUAUGAAUUAUUUUUGUGUUUUUGUUGUAUAAUUUUUUUUGUUUCUUUUUGGAAUGAAAUUUUUUUGGGUUUUUCUUUCUGUAGAUGAUGUUUUUUUUUUGUUAGAAUUUUAUCAAAUGUGAAUGGAGUAUAUAUAUCAAAUUUUAUACAGUUUGCCUACCUAUUUUCUAUGAAUAUAUAUAUAUAUAUAUACUAUUACACCAACCUACCAAUAUCCACCUACGUGCGCGACAAUCGUUUUUUCACAUGUUUAUAAAUUCUACGACAUAUUUGUAGAUAAAGUUCCUACCGUAUUCCUUCAAAAAUGCUACGAGAAACUAUUCGUAGGAAAUUGGAAGGAACUAUCUCCUACGAAUUCCCUACCAUGGCUUUUCCCAUGACUUUCCUUCCAAUUUCCUAUGAGAUUUCUACGAAUUUCCUACGAAAUUUCUUCAAAUUUCCUACCACGUUUUUUUCCUAUGGCUUUCAUUCUAAUUUCCUACUAGAUUUCUUCAAAAUCCUACAAGAAACUUUUCGUAGAAAUUUGGAAGGAAGUUUUUCAUUCGAAUUACCUACCACUGCUUUUCUCAUAACUCUCCUUCCAAUUUCCUACGAGAUGCUCUACGGCUAUAUAUUUUGUAAGAUUUUCGUAGGAAUUUUCCUAUGACUUUUUUGACGACUUAUUUCGUAGAAAAUUUACUUCCAUUUUCCUACAAAAUAAUUAUUCCGUGACAACCUGGUAGAAUUGUAGAAAUUGAUAUAUCCUACCAAAGAUUUCCUACGAAUUUGACAAUGUUUUUUUUUGUAGUAACGUAUCUUGUUUAAUUGUGUAGUGUUCUAGAUAUUCAAAUGGGUUUCUCACUGAAAAAACCAACUAUGAUGACCCGAAAGAUGAUUAUCGGGGCUGUUCUAGACGUUGCAACAUACGAGAGUGUGGUUAAGGACGAUGGGGUUAAUCCCAUGACAGUGACAAUGCUACCAUUCGGCGUUGUCUUACAUCCCGCAAAUGAGAAACGCUUCACUUUGUCGGUUGGUUAUCAAUUCGAGACAGACAAGGUUAACGCCGAUGAAGCGAAGAAAAUGAUUUCUCAAACUUUGAGAAACCUUACCAAUGCUCUCCCUCGGGCUGAAAAGUGCCAAUAGAUGUUUAUCCUCGCUCCACGGGAUAGUUGACUCUUUGCUUUGGGCAAUGCAGUGCCUAAUAUCACUAAGUGAAUUGAGGGUCACCUUUGCAUUUGAUUGCUUUGAUAUUAUCUCGAUGAUUGACAACUAUGCAGAGUGGCCAAGCUUUGCAGUGGAGAUGGCCAUUUUUCAAUUUUUUUCUUAUCUCUGUUAGAUUUAUUCCUCGUUGUAACAAUGUUCGGACUGAUUGUUUAGCCAAGAAGAUGCACGUUUGUGGUACUCUCUUUUUCCACGUACGCUCAUCGGUUUCUAAAUGAUUCUCUCUAAAGAAGAAUCUCUUUUCAAUAACUUAAUAAAAUUGGUGUGUGGUAAAAAUAAAAAUUUACGCUGUGUUUCUGUUAAAAAAUAGGUGAUCCAAAGUUGUCUCAAAAAACAUUCUCAUACAUCAGUUCGUUCAAACAACACAAAAUCAUCAUUUAUAAUUAGUUGGAGUGGAUAUAAACAGCUAAAUGCCUCAAUCUAAACCGGAUUCUCUAAAUCUCAACGGGCUCAAGGCAUCUCCUUUUAGAAAGCUUAUUGAUCUUACCAGCCAAUUAUAGAUUCUUUGAUAUAUGCUUUCAUCUUCUCGAAUAUGUUUAUUACCAAAAAAAAAAUUGUAUAAAAUCAAAUAAUAUUAAAAAUUUGUAAAACUUAUAUGAACUUCAACGAGGUUAAGAAGAUGUUUCAAGGUUUACCAAAAAUUAUAUAAAAUCAAAUAGUAUUACAAAUUAAUCAAAAUUAUCACCAAAUUAGUUGAUAUUUACAAAAAUAUCUCUAUAGUUUGGGUCUUUUUGGCCCAAACAGUUUACCUGAUAGUCCAGUAACAGGUGAUCUGGCUAUCCCGUGACAUUAGUCGGAAAGCAUUCCAAAUUCGGAACAGACAGUGUGUGGUGGCCCUUCAGAGAGUAGUCUACUCUGAAGCACUUCGGUGUUUUUCUACUGUAGUUGACCGGAUCAGCCGAUAUGGUUUAUAAAUAAAAAAAAAUGCUAUAAACUUUUUAAAAGUUAUUGAAUUUGAAUUUAUUUUUUUUAAAUCUAUUUGUCGUUUAAUCAUGAAAAAAAAAAGAAUAGGAAAAUUAAACGCGUAAGAUCUAGUCAAUGUGGUCAUGGGAUGGGUCACCUAAUCAAAUCUUUUUCUCCCUAAAAAAAGAAGUAAAAAAAUUUCUCUCAAUUUCCUCGAAGAAGAAGAAGAACAUUAACAAACUUAAAAAAAAAAUGUCAAAUUGUCAAAAACUAAUAAACCAAUCAAAUUCCUCCAUUUUUUCCCUCUUUUCUUUUUCUUCUUCCUCCCAAUCAACUCUUCAGAUUCCAGGAAAGAGAGAAAGAAAGAUUCAAUCUUUAUUAGCCGGAGAUGAUGAAUUCGCCGAACUGGGAACUCCGUGGUUGUUGUAACCGGAAUCAAAAUACUUUCCUUAUCACCAUCGGAAUCUUCACCGUCGUUAUCCUUCUGGUAAGUUUUUUCUAAUGUCCGACUAUAAAGUUUGAAACUUUAUUUGUUAUCUUCGAUUUUGAAUGGGUUUUUGUAAAAUUUAGUCAAAAGGGUUUCCGAUUCACUUAUAAUUUCAACGAAAUUUUGCGAAUUUUGCGAUUGAAGUAUCAAAGUUUUUGUUUUUAUGAUCUGGGUUUUUGGUUGUGACAGCUAUGGAGGACAUUUCUAUUGACUCCAUUUAAACUCAUUACGGUGUUUUUGCAUGAAGCAAGUCAUGCCGUUGCUUGCAAGCUUACAUGUGGAGAUGUAAGGAGCUUUCUCACUUCAACUAUUAGUCUUCAAUGAACUUAAAAGGGUAUAAAGUUGGUUUUAGGUCACUUGAACCCUUGAUUUAGUUUGCAAACAUGAAUUGUCUCCUUCCAUUUUGUUUGAAAGAGCAGAGAAGAUAUUCUGGUUUCCUUAGAUAGAAAGGUUUUUACUUCAGCAAUAUGUCACUGCAUUCUCUCUGGACAUGAUUGUUAGUAGAGCCAUAGAUAAGAGGUUGCGGUAUCCGUAUUUGUCUUGCUAUCUGUUAUAUUCCUUACUUUAUUAGAUUUGUAUACGAUUCUCGCUUGCUUCCAUUGUUAAUGUGUAAACUACUAGCUUCUGUCAUUAUUUAUGAACACACACUGAGUUUACUUGAACAAGUGCAGCUGCUCAAGCUUUAGCUGUAGGUCUACUAUAACUUGCCUAGGACUGAAUGUAACACAUUAUAGCUCUUAAGAAAUGGUUAGAAAGCUUUUAGUGAGGGCUGGUUUAUAAAGAUGUCCCCGGAGAUUGUUAGGGUGUAGAUUCAAUGGCGAUUUUGGUUCUGUGAGAAUAGGAGUGUACAGCUUCAGCUCUUAGUCUUACUAUACUUCUGAUUGUGUUUCUUCUAGAUUGAUUGAUGCAUAUGACAAUAUGCAAGUAUUGCAGAGACAAUGUGAGAUCCACAAUUUUUUCAUUGCAAGUACUGUGUGUAUGAAACUUAUCUACCAUCUUCUCUCUAUGAAUCUUUAAGUUUUAUACCCUCAUAACAUUUAUCUUGAAUAGGCUGUGUAUAGUUUGCACAUAAACCACCAAAUGUGUGCACCAUCUCUCUGUGAUUCUGCAACUAACAGUCACAUAUAAUGUGGAUAAUGUGUUCCUACUAACAAAAUGUCACUCAUUUUGGUUAAUUAACUUCUUAUUGAAUCAAAAGGUAGAGGGGAUGGAGGUGAAUGCAAAUGAAGGGGGUUCGACAACAACACGUGGUGGCAUUUAUUGGCUGAUCUUACCUGCUGGCUGUAAUGCACAAUCUAUCUAUAUAUCUUACUUAUACAAAUCCAUUAUUUUUCGAAUUUAGUCUUAGCCUUUUUGUUGUUGAAUUGGUUAUAGAUCUUGGCUCAUCAUUUUGGGGAAUGGCAUUGAUUCUUGCAUCUACCAAUCUGCUGACAGCAAGAAUAGCUGCUGCUGGUCUGGGUCUUGCUUUAUUCAUCGUCCUAUUCAUUGCCAAAAAUGUAAGAAGAAGUCAUUAUUUCUCUUAUCUAACAAAGUUUUAUUUCAUUAACAUCAAAUACUGAGAUCUUCAAUUUUGACAGUGGACUCUUCGAGGUCUUUGUAUAGGUGUGUUGUCUCACGAAUCCUCUUGUUACAUUUUCUUAGUAAGCACCCACCCAAAAGCCUUACAUAGUUAUAUAAAUAUCAGGUUUCAUAGUUUUCCUCGCUAUCAUCUGGGUUCUACAAGAGUUAACUACAGUCAAAAUUCUCCGUUAUGUCAUUCUGUUCAUUGGUAAGAUACCAUUAAACUCUUCUCCUUCUUGUUAACAUCAUUCAGCCUCAUUUAGCCUAUAUAAAAUUGGGAUUCACAAUGUUACAGGUGUGAUGAAUAGCUUAUUCUCAGUUUACGGUAUGUAAUUCCUUCGUCCCAUUUACUUCACUUAAAAGUUAUGACUUAUGACCAAUAAUAAUGUGGCUGCGAUGUAUGGAUAUUAGAUAUCUAUGAUGAUUUGAUAUCUCGGAGGGUCCAUUCGAGCGACGCUGAGAAGUUUGCAGAGAUCUGUCCUUGCUGUACCGGUUGUGGCUGGGGUGUCAUCUGGUUAGAUUUAAAUACAACUCUCAGUUAUCAGAUUCUGAAAGUGAAAAUGAAAUCCUUAUUCUAACACUUUGUUUCCAUUUCAGGGGAAUGAUUUCAUUUGCGUUUCUUUGCGCGUCGCUCUAUCUCGGCCUAGUGAUCCUAUCAUAAAAGGGUACUCUUGUAUGAAUUUGUUGGUGUCUCUCAGGUUCAAAUUCUUCCCAGUGAAAUGCAGAGACAAUAGUUUGAUAAAAGCUUGAUUCUUUAAAUCCCUUGGUGUGCUUGGGAUUUACAUUGUUGAUUGAAUGUAUUUUUUUUUUUUAGAUUUUGGAGUGUGUUGAAUAGAAUUCAUUGACAAUUUGAUUUGGUCUGUUUAUUGCAUUAAAAGUUCGUUGACUUCUUUAACCCAAAAAAGUCCGUUGACUUCUUCAACAACAAAAAGAAAAAGAAGUCGGUUGACUUUCUAUAAGCUUCUAUUUUUGAACCUUGAAAUUGUUAAAAGCAUUAUUUUAAUUAUUUAUUUAGUUCCUAUUAUUUCUUGUAAGUGAAAUAGAAUGUUUUGAAGAUAAUUGUCGUAACGGAAAUUCCUAAGUUAUAAAGAGAAUACAACGAAAAAGUCUUUCAACUUUGAUCAAGUCCAUUUUAAUUCAUCCAUCUACACGAAACGAAUUUGUUAAAACCAAAACGUUGAGGACUUGAGGUGAUUUUUUCACUUAAUACACCAAAAUUGAGAAAAUUGUUUUUUACUUUUUACCUAUGUUGCAUGGAAACGAAAACGGAAACGUGGAAGCGAAACGUUUCGGAAACGGGAAACGAUUUUUUUCUAAAAUUAGGGAUUGGAAACGUUUUGGAAACGUGUACACAUAUAUAAUAUAUGUAUAUAUAUAAUAUUAGCAUAAAACUAUAAAAAUGGUUUAAUUAAACAAUAAAGUCUAAAACAUCAAAUAUUAAAUAGGUUAACUAAAAUUCUAAAAGAAAAAAGAUUAAAAGGUUCAAGUUCAAAUAUUUAAUUUAGACAAACAUUUUCAUUUUCAUUUUCAUUAGUUUCAUCGUAGAAUCAUAUAAAGAUGCCUCUAAAUCUAGUUUGUCGAUAAAAAGAUCUUAAAACUCAGAGUCUUCCAAAAUUAGUUAUAUGUAUUAUAAAUUUUAAUCUUUUCAACUUUUAUUUAUUAAGUUUCCAAAGUCAAUAAAAAAAUAUUUGUCGCGUUUCCAUUUUAGAAACGUGAGUUUCCAAACAUAGAUUUUUAGGAAACACGUUUACAUGACGUUUUUCGUGUUUCCGAAUAGUUUCCGUUUCCGAAACGUUUCGGAAACGGGAAACGGAUCUCGAAGAGAAUUUCCAUGCAACAUAGCUUUUUACUAAAAAUAGUUAGACAAAAUUUGAAGGCUUAUUACGGAAUAUCAUUUUCCCACGUUUCAAUGAACAACCUAACAACUGUAAAUGGUGCUUAGAAGGUUUUUUGGUAGUUCAUAUCAAGUUUGUCAUGUCCUUUAAUUUUUUGUUUUUUCUGGUUAAAAUGUUUAAUACCAUGUACAACACAAUAUGGCUUUAGUAGGAGGGGUCGAAUAUCGAAAUAUCAUUCAAUUUUCUUUGGUGGUUUUUUCAAGAAUUAUGCAAAUAAAGUUGUAGGAUAUCUAACUAGUCCAGGUUUGAUCCACGUUGGAAACAAAAAACACAUCUGUGUGGAAAGUCUGGGUUUGGGCCAAAAGUUUACUUGGUAGUCCAGUAACACGCGAUUUGGCUACCUCCUGAUAUUAGUCGGAAAACAUUUCAAACUCAGGACAGGCAGUGUGGUAGCCUUUUGGGGAGAAGUCCACUCUGAAGCACUUCGGUGUGUUUCUACCGGGACUGACCGAAUCAACCGAUAGAGUUUAUCAAAAAAAAUCUAACUAUUUUCUCGAUGGAGAUAUAACUAAUUUGACCGAAUACUAUAGAAUAUGUUCUUCUCCAUAAUAUGUUGGAGUUGGAGAUAUGCCAUAAAAGAUGUUGACACAUUAGGAACAAGAACCGGGUUCAAUAAGUUGAGGAAUACCGAAUACCAAACCGAACACCAACUUGGAGUCGUGGAGAAGAAGAUGACGUAAAGGUUAGAUGUGGAGCAUAACGAACUCCAUGUCACCGCCUAAUUACUUUUUCAACCAUUGACGAAGUCUUCUAACAGUAACCCUUCAUUCUUCAUAUGAUCCCUACUCCACCGUCACAUGAGAUUAGAAUUCUAUAAUUUAGGUUUAUGGCUAUUUUAUGACAUAGACGAAUUCAAUAUCUAAAAAAACACAAUUUAACCUAGCUAUUACAUAUGAUGUCGUCAUGCAUGAUAAUUGCCAACUAGUGGACGGAAGUUUGUAAAAGCUUGCAUCCACGAUUUAAAAUAUUGUUUGCAUGUUGUAUAAUUGAACACGUGAUAUAAAAAUUCUAAAUCUUUCGAUAUCAUUGGGGAAAUAUACUUUUUUGGAAGUUUCCCAUCGUGGAAAGCUCUUACCCUCUGCUAGGGUAAAAUUUCUUACUACUUAUAUUUCUUUAUGCGGAAGCCGGAAGCUAUCUUAUAAAAAAUCGGUCCAUUGACCAUUAAAUGGCCCAUUUCUGGAGUAUAUGCCCGUUCGUUCAUGUAUGAUGGAAAAAUUGGAAUCACACAUUUGCUCGAUAAUAGGAGCGAUUAUGGUGGUUUAGGCCAAACACAUGGACCAAACAUCAGAUUGCGUUUUUUUUCCACUAAGCCAAAACAAAAAAAACAAAAAAUAGUUUUGCUGUGUAAACACAACACACGAACAAAGGUUUUGGCAACCAUUAUCGGUCAUGUCGUAGUGAAAACCAUCCAUAUUGAAAAAUUCAUUCGAUAAAAUCUAUAUUUUGUACAUAUUUUUAUAGUUUUAGAUUUAUAUUCAAGAAUUGUUUUAUAUCCUUUUUUAUGUAUUAUUAUUAUGAAGCAUAUUAUCUUUUAUCACAUAACAAAAUAAUUUUAAAAAAAAAAUCCAUUUUAAAAAAAUUCCCAAAGCAUGCUUUCAUGUGUAAUAAUAAAUAUUAAAAAUGAAGAAUAAAUUAAGAUUUUGGUUUUGAAUUCAAUAAUUUCGUUUGUAACUAUACUAUUUUUAGUUUUGAUAUCCGGAUUUCGCAAAAAUAACACUUUCUAUCAAACUACAUUAAUAUGAUAUAUUAUAUAUUUUAUUGGGGUUUAUAGAUAAAGUUUAAAAUUUUAAAUCUGCAUAUGGAGCGGUUAUAUUUGCGUAUAUUAUAUUUUCUGUAAUCGAAGAAAAAUGAGGCUUCAUAUACAGUUGGAUUGCUAUUAAUGUUAUUUCUUUAUCAAACCAAGCAAGUGAUAACAAAAAUAAAAAAAGGUAUUAAUGUUGAAUUGUAAAUAAAGGAAGAAAUUUAAAUUAUGUCAUUUCAGAAGAGGAAGUAUGUCACAUGUAAAUAGAUCAUUGAUACUUUUCAAGAGAACUUCCACAAGAAAGCCAUUGACUUCUACCUUUCUAAAUUUCCAGCUUGACCCAUUUAUUUCUCAUGAAGUUAUAAGAACUUUACGUACUAGAUAUUUAAUAUGUUUACAAUAUUCAGGAAUUUAAAAAUAUGGUAGUAUCAACUAAUGUUGAAAUCAUUUGAUUUGACUUUUUAUUACCAAAAUUCAUGUAAUUUCUUUUAGUUCUUACCAAAAUAUUUAUGUGGUAUGCUAAUAUUCGUUUUUUAUUCUGAGAAAAUUUAACCCCAACCAAAAUAUUGAGUGGCAAGCAAUGUUCAACUAAUAUAUGAUAAGGAGAACAAAAGUUAUGGCAAGUUUGGAAAAAAAAAUCAAUUUAUUAGCAUAUUUUUGACUCAUGCGCAUCUCAAACUUUUUUCUUGAUCCUUCUUCCUUAUCUUAUCUUUUCUCAAAUUCUAUAUUUCCAAAAUAAAACACGCAAUUUCUAUUAUAAUUAUACAAUAAAAAACUCAAAUUAUCUUCCAAAAAUGUCUUUACCACUAUUUUUCAGAUUUCUCCUCCACGUCUACUGAUUGUCAUAGAUAUGUUUUAAAGAUGAGGCAUUAAUUCUCUUCUUGUUCACACGUAAGUAUAUACUUUUCAUAAUAAAAAAUUGUUUUUUUGUUAAUUCAUACUUUUCAUAAUUUAAUUCAAGGAAUUCUCGUGAACCGAUUUCUAAAAACAUUUACAAAAUUAGUUAAUUAAUGCAUAUCUUUAUUUCUACAUAAAGAAACACAUACAAUAUUUACUAUAUUGCUUCUAUAUUAAUAUUCUUCUUUCCAUAUAUAAAUGAUUGAAUUUUAACCCUCUUACAAGGAAUAUAUUUCAUUUACAUUAUAUAUAGAUUACAAGAAAAGCCCAUCAAUCUAUUAUUCUCUGAUUCAGCGAAGAAAAUAAAUAAAUAAACGGCCAAAAAAUGGGAGCAGACGCAAUCCAAACGAACGGUCACGAUCAAACCAAGUUAACCGGCGGUGAAGAGAUCCAACGGCUGAGAUGUUUCGUGAAGAACUACGAAUGGGGCAAACUCGGACCAGACUCAUUGGUGGCGAGACUCCAAGAGGCUAAUACAGGACAAAGAGUCGACCCGGAGAUUCCUCACGCCGAGUUUUGGAUGGGGACUCAUGAGUCUGGACCGAGUCAUGUUGAAUUCGGGUCGUUGGGUCAUGGUGGGUCUGAUAAAUGUAUGGUUACAUUGAAGUCGUGGGUUUUGGAUAAUCCGGAUUUACUCGGGUCUAAAGUCGUGGACAAGUGGGGUUGUGAUCUUCCUUUCCUCUUCAAGGUAAUGGUUAAUUUCUCUGUUUUUUUUGCUCUGUUUUGAAGAUGUUGCAUUUGACUCUGUUUUUCUUAUUAAUAAAUUGGAUUUUUGUGUGUUUUUAAAAGUUAAAAUAUACAGGUUUGGGUAUUAUCUUAUUAUAUAAACACGUAUAUAUCUACCAAUCAAAAUAUACAUUUUCAGAGUCUGUUUUAUGGUCAAUUUCUCUGUUUUCUUUCCUCUGUUUUGAAGAUGUUACAUUUGACUCUGUUUUUUUUUGUUAAAAAUUUGUUUUUUUUUAAAGUUAAAGCAUAGUUUUGAAUCUAAUGAUAAUUUUUUUGGUAUUGAAUUGUGAAAAUCAUUGUCACAUCUAAAAAAUUUCUGUUUUUUUUUUUUUUUUUUUUGUUCUGUUUUGAAGAUGUUCACAUUUGACUCUGUUUUUCAAAUAAAAGAUUUGGGGGUUUUUUGCGUGUUUUUAAGAGUUUAAAGCAUAUAGAUUUGAAUUUAAAGAGAAGUGUUUUGGUGUUGAAAUGUGAAAAUUUUAGGUGUUGUCAGUGACGAAAGCAUUGUCGAUUCAAGCACAUCCAAAUAAAGCUUUAGCAGAGAAAUUGCAUAGAGAAGAUCCUCUUCUUUACAGAGACAAUAACCACAAGCCUGAGAUUGCUCUUGCUGUUACUCCUUUUCAAGCCCUUUGUGGUUUCGUACCUCUUAAGGUACACAAUUUCAGAUCUUUCUCUCUGUCUAUCAUUCUUUGCAAAAAUUUAGGUCAGUUUUUGGUUCAGAUCAACCGAAAUUACACAAGGGUUUAAGUUCUUUAUAGAUCCGGUUUGAUCGAAAGAAACCGGUUUGAUCGAAAGAAACCGGUUUGAUUGUUUUGUUUUAUUGUUCAAUCGUGAUCAACCGAUUGGAUCUAAAACCAAAAUCGCAUAGAAGUAUCAAAUUAGGUUUAAUAUUGAUUAUUGUAGUACAAAAACCGAAAAAUCUUGAUAGCUAAACAUCUUGGUUGUUACUUGUGCUACAAGAAAAAUUGAACUGGUUUUGUGCCUAUAAUUGAAUCAGGAGUUGAAGGAGGUUAUCACCAAUGUACCAGAGAUCACAGAGCUUGUGGGAAGCAAAGCUGCAGAUCAAAUCUUCAACGUCCAUGAACACGAUGAAGACGAAAGAGUCAAAUCCGUUGUCCGGUUGAUCUUCACGCAGUUGAUGUCCGCAAGCAACAAUGAGACGAAGCAAGUGGUAUCUCGGAUGAAGAAUCGUCUGAUCUCGGAGACCAAACACCGUGAACUGUCGGAGAAAGAGAAUUUGGUUUUGGAAUUGGAGAAACAGUACUCAGGUGACAUAGGUGUGAUUUCAGCCUUUUUCUUUAACUACGUCAAGCUUAAUCGAGGAGAGGCUUUGUAUUUGGACGCAAACGACCCACACGCUUACAUUUCCGGCGACUGUGUCGAGUGUAUGGCGGCUUCAGACAACGUUGUUAGAGCUGGUCUCACUCCAAAACACCGCGAUGUUCAAACCCUUUGCUCUAUGCUUACUUACAAAUUGGUAACUUUCUUUACACGCUAACGUUUUAGUACCUUUCUUUACACGUUAAUGUUUUGGUUCAGCUGAUAAACCGAAUAUCAAAACCAAACUAGUAAUUGUUACUGUUUUCUUUGUUUGGUUUAUUGAUUAAUCGUACCGGAAUUUGUUCAGGGCUACCCGGAGAUUCUGAAAGGAUUUCCUCUAACUCCUUACGUUACAAGGUAUCUUCCUCCAUUUGAUGAGUUCGAAGUGGACCAUUGCGAUCUACCUGGUGGAAAUUCGACGGUUUUUCCGGCAGUACCGGGGCCUUCGGUUUAUUUGGUUAUUGAAGGUCAAGGGAAAUUGCAAACCGGUUCAUCUCAAUUGUUGGUUAACCGAGGAGAUGUUUUGUUUGUUCCGGCUCAUAACGAGGUUCACGUAACCGGAGAAAGUGAUGUGAUGAAGCUUUACAGAGCUGGAGUCAGCAGCAGAUUCUUCCAAACACUCUAGGCUAAAAAUUUAAGUAUAUGAUCUUUACUAAUUACUAUAUAUAUUUAUAAGCAUUCAUAGGGACCAAUUUUCCAAAUUGGUAGGAAUGUGUUGUUUAAUUCCCCGAUGGUGGCCCAUUGCAAAUUAAAAGUUCAAGGAGUUGUUAUUUUUCUAUUUUUAUUUAUAUAUAUACAUAUUUAAACGAACGAACUUUAUAUGUAAAAUAACUAAAAAAUCUUUUUAUCCAAUGUUUUUUUUUUUUGAUAAAAUCUUUUUAUCCAAUGUUUCAGAUUAGAAAAUGUUAAUGUGAUAUAUAUUAUCACGUGUAUUUGUGUUAAUUCGUGAAAUUCCAACGAAAACCUAGCAAUAAUGAAUAAAUUGGUUCAUGUUUCUUACAUAUUAUUUUAAGUGAUAUAUGUCGGCGUCAGAUUUCUUCCUCUCUUCUCUUUUUUAGUUUUUUCUUUUUCCUUUGUAUCGAUUUCUUUUAGCCGGCGGCGGCUCUUCCUUCUUUGUGGCUUAAUCAGAGACUUUUAAGUCGACGGCGAGCAGAGGUAGUUUUCUCAGAUGGAGGUUCGUUGGUGGAUCUACAAUGGGGAACUAUAACUCUCGACGACGGCAGCAGAUCUGGUGGAUUUCUUCGUCAGUCUCUUCGCGGAGGUACCUCUCCUCCGAUGAGCCUCUUUGGUGGCGGCGGCUCAGUGUUAAGAAGGGACAGAGGUAGGCGAAUCGUGGUUUUUCGAGCUUGGCUGUGAAGAUCCUAUCGAUCCCGGGCAGAUUUACAUGAUUCAAGGCUUUCUAGCUAUGCUGCCGCCAACGACUCCCGACAGAGAAUAAAUUAGAUGUAGGGGAGAUAAGAAAACCAUUUGGAUUGUAGAAGAAGAAGGAAAGCUCUCCAUUAAUGCCCCGGCUUCAAGAAAUUUUUGUCUCAGCCCGGUUAAUCCGGUUGAGUAUCAGUCGGAUUAGUAUGUCCGUUUUAGGCUUAGGACCGGAAUAGUGAAAGCCGAGGAGUCAAAACCCUUCUGAAGUUGCGCUUUUGGCGUAGAUGCUAUUAGGACACGCUCUACACUCGGAUCAUGAGGGACUAAUAGCUUGGAAUUGGUUUGGAUCUCAGGAGAGGAUUUGAUUUUCUUUGUGUUAGUAAUUGUUUUCGUGUCAUUGGGUGAAUUUAGGUGGUUUAAGAGAUGAUUUCACUUAGAGUCGUGGUGUAAUUCAUCUCGUUGUGGUUGGAAAAUACAAUGAUUUUCAGUUGGGUAGCGUUGGAUCCGUUAGUGUUUCAGGGUUUUAUUUGACUAAAUCAUUGUAUUUGAGUGAAGUUUGUCGAGGUCAAAUGAUUUGUAAUAUCGAUUUGGUGAAUGAAUAGUUGAUGUUGAGCAAAAAAAAAAAAAAAAAAAAAAAAAAAAACACAAUUUUUCGAUGCGAGGACUCUUCUAGGCUUCUAGCCUAUCAAUACUAGUAUUUUUACAGUCACUUUCGUCUUUGGUGAUGGAUGAGUAAAAAUGCUUCUGGGUUAUUUGGAUAUCCGAUCCAUUUUAAAAAAUCUUGCACAAAAAAUUUGUUGGGUCGGAGUAUAUUUAACCCAACUCAUACACCGGAUAUUCCAUAUUUAAUAAUUACAUAUUUAGAAGAUUUGAUUAAGAUUUAUAAUUAUGAUUCUCCUAUCAUCUUUGUUUGAUUUGUUUUUAACUGUUUUGAAUUAUCAUAUCUUACUAGGAUCGGACCCACGGUCCACCGCGGGAGAAUAUUGGUUUACAUACGUUGCGUUUAAUAUUGUGUGUUUUUUAGUAGAACGAAUCGUGUAGUAUACUUAUAAAUAUUCAUAAUAACGAAUUGUAGAGAAAAUGUAAAAUUGUUUAUAAAUAUACCCAUCGUAUUAAUUAUGAUUUACAAAAUAGAAUUUUGUGUUUAAAAAUUCUAAAAUUAGACGAUUCAUGAGAAUUAGAGCAGUCAAAAUAGGUCAAAAACCGCGGGUCGAGCCCACAUCAUCUCACUAUGGAGCAGAUUUGAGAAAAUAUAUUAAACCCACAAAUAAGCAGACCACAUGGAUUAAUUCGCAGUGGGUCAUAGGUUUAAUCAGUUUUCAUCCGCGGGUUGGCGGAUCAGCCCGCAUAUUAGUAUUUAUUGAUAAAAUUAUAAUUUAUUCAACAUGCGGUAAUUUAAACAAACUUUUAAUAGUAUUUUGAUUUAUUUAUUUAUUUUAGUAGUAUUUUAAAUUUUGGUUACUUUAAAAUUAUUUAAACAAAAUCCAUGGACAAUCCCGCAAAUCCGCAUACAUUCGCGGAACGGGUUUGUAUUUCAUAUAUGCUACCCGCGGGUCGUGCGGACCGACUAACUACAAGUCAAAAUAUUUUUUGUCUAUCGCAAAACGGACUUAACGGGACGAAUCAACUCGCUUUGACAGUUCUAAUGGGAAUAUUAUUUAGUCAUACAACAAAAUGAAGUUUGGACAUAGUAAUAAUAGAAUAUGUAUCUUAUUUGUUAGAUGAGAGAUUGAAAGAUGAAGUAUAAUGAUUAAAAAUUAAUUUUUUUUUCAUGAUUCACAAAUUUAAUAAAUACUUAUCAUCUUGUUGAAUAAUUCUAAAAUCAUAUUCAAGAAAUCUUUAUAAAUUGAAAAUUAAACUUUUUAGGUAAGCUAUAUGUAUGAAAAUAUCAUAAUUUUGAUUAAUCUAAUUAAAUUAAAAUUAGUUACAUGGAUUUCAUAUCUAUUUAAUUUACACGACCAAAAUAAAAAUAUCUAUUUAAUUUACAUGACCAAAAUAAAAAUAUCAAUUUAAUUUAUAAAACAGAUGGGUUAUUUGUGAUAAAUUUUCUAGAAAUCUUUAGAAGCAAGUAAAAUAUCUUUCAAUUAAUGAUAAUUGGCUAAAAUGAGCGAAAUUAACGACAAAAACGUUGAUUGUUAUGAAAUUAGUCCCAAAAAUAUAUGAACAAAUUUAUUAUACGUAAUUAAUGUAUAAUAUUGUUUGGAAUAUGCUUUUAUUAUUAGUUACCAUAAGUACAAUCAGAUUUUAUUUGAUUUCCAUAAAUAUUUGUUUUUAUUUCAAUUUUUCAUUAUUAAUUCGAAUUUAUAUUCCAAAAAAAUUUCAAAGAUCCGAUUUCAGAAUUUCGGGUCAAUUUUCUGAUUUUAACCCGACCCAUUUUCAAUUGUACUUCUCUUUUAAUAGUAUAGAGAUUAUAUAAAGUAUGGUUUUCAAAGUUAAUAACUCAUACGAUCGUAACACAUGGAAAAUCUAUCGAUCUUAAAUUUUAACACGUAUAAAACAAAAUUUCCUUUUUAAAAUAAUAAAAAAGAUAAUUGUAAAUAAUUAUAAAUUUAAAUAAUUUUAAAAAUAUAAAAUAACUAGUAUUUUUACAGUCACUUUCGUCUUUGGUGAUGGAUGAGUAAAAAUGCUUCUGGGUUAUUUGGAUAUCCGAUCCAUUUCAAAAAAUCUUUCACAAAAAAUUUGUUGGGUCGGAUUAUAUUUAACCCAACUCAUACACCGAAUAUUCCAUAUUUAAUAAUUAGAUAUUUAGAAGAUUUGAUUAAGAUUUAUAAUUAUGAUUCUCCUAUCAUCUUUGUUUGAUUUGUUUUUAACUGUUUUGAAUCAUCAUAUCUUAUUAUAUAAAGUAUAGUUUUCAAAGUUAAUAACUCAUACGAUCGUAACACGUGGAAAAUCUAUCGAUCUUAAAUUUUAACACGUAUAAAACAAAAUUUCCUUUUUAAAAUAAUAAAAAAAGAUAAUUGUAAAUAAUUAUAAAUUUAAAUAAUUUUAAAAAUAUAAAAUAUAAUGGUAAAUAAUUAAUAUUUCUAUAAACAAUUAAAAAAUGUCAAAAUAUAAUAAUAAGGAAAUUAUACGUUUUUUAUAAUUAGAAAUAUAUAUUUCAAUUAAACAAGAAAAAAUCAGGCAAAUUUAUUAAAAAGGAAACAUAUGUUAUUAUAAAACUAAUAUGUUCUAUUUCUGUUUCUCAAAGUUAGUAAUUAAUAGUAUUAUAAACCGUUAUCAGUCAAAGAUUUUAUCAUGAUUUAAUUUAAAAUUUGAUAUUAUUUAUCUCAAUUUCCUUUCCAAUUAGAAUAUAUGAUGAUUUAAUUAAACUAAUAUUCAUAUUAUUUAUUUGAGUUUAUUUUUUGAGAGAUCAAAUUUUUUUUUCUUUUUGUAAUAUUUUUUUACUUAACUGUGUUUUUUUUUCCUUAAUUAUUGUGGAUGUCGGAUUCACACACUCAAGUAUUUUUACUAAGCGGGAAAGAUUACUCUUGAGGGACAAAAAAUGAAUAUGUAAAAAGCUAUGAAUUGAUACAAAAAUUGCUAUAGUAUUUCUUGCUCGAGGAAAAGAUCCCCUUUACAUGGCCCUUGGCCAUUAUAUUUAUACAUAAAAAACAACAUUUAAGUGGCUAAUUAAGUACAAUUAUUCUUUCUUAAAUGUAUCCGUUUUGGUCUCAGAAUUUAAUGCUCAACGUUUGAAUUUGAAUUGAUUCCGACCUUCAUGGGCCUCGCCUCUCAGUCCAAAUUACCUUGAACCGACUUAACUAUGACUUCGACUCGUAUCGAGGUGCAAUCAAUUCGAACUUUCUUUGUGGUGUCACCACCUCGACCGCACCCUUAUCUUACAGACCUAAUGGGCCUUAUCCCUUGUGGGCCUUCGUCUUGACUGCGUGGCAAUCUUUGGUUGGUCCCGGACUACUAGUGCGGGAUCCGACACCAACAAUUAUGAUUGUAGUAUUUUUAGAUUGUUUAUUUCAAUUUCUCUUUUCAUAUUAAUUAUCAAAGAUUCAUAUAUCAUCGUGUUUAUAAUUUUUUAUUUUUAGUUUAACAGUUGUAACUUUAAAUUAUUUAUUUUGGUUUCUACGUUCAGUUUAAUAUAAGAUUUAUAAUAUAUCAAAAUUCUAAUGAUUUUAGAUAGCGACAAUGUCAUGAUUUAAAUUACAAUCUUAUAUUAUUUAUAUCAAUUUUAUUUUCUAAUUAGAAAUAUAUGAUGAUUUUAAGUAAAUUUUUAUAUUGUUUAUUUGAAAUUCUUGAAUAUGUAAGAACUUAUAUGCUUCUUCUUUGUUUUUGAUAUUUUGAAUUUAAUUAUACUAUUUCAAAAUUGUUUAUUUAAAUUUCUAUGUUCAUAUUUGAAUUAUAUAAGAUUCAUAUAUCAUCUCGCUUAUAAUUUUUUGAAUUUAUCAAUUUUUAUUGAUUGAUCAAUAAAGUCAUUACAAUCGAGUAUAUAAGAAUCGAACCUGAAACGUUAGCUUGGAAGACUAAGAGAUUUAGUCGAUUUAUCAUAUUUAUAUUUUUAACGUGUCUCAUUAGGAACCACUUUGGUUUCAGUCACCAACUUUAUGAUGAAUAUUUUUAAAUUUAGUUAUUCAUAUAGUAUACUAUGAGUUAUUGCUAUGUGAUAUAUCUUUCAUUCGAAAAAAUUUUGAAUUAAUAAUUUUAGUGGUUAAAGAAACAAUGCAACAGUGAAAAAGUAAAUAUUUUUUUUUACUUUUGUAAGAAAAUUUUUACUUACAACAUUGUUAAUUAAUCUUUUGUUAAAUUUGAUUUUAGUUUUUUUUUAAAAAUUAAACCCGUUCAUCGGACGGGUCCUUUUCUAGUAAUACAUAAAGUAGAAAAAAAUCAAUUUUUUUCUCCAUAACUGUUAUUCAAAAUUUAAAAAACGGACAUAUAUUAUCCAAUUGACGAAAAUGUGUGUUCAACGUUCUACAUCGAUUAAAAUAUUUAAACAAUGAUUCAGAAUCAUAUCAUAAAUAAGAUCAUUAAUAAAAUAAAUGAGUUUUUUGGCCGAACGGGUUUGGAGGGACGGAUUUUUGAAUCAACAAUAAUAAAAAGAUUAAAAUAUCAUUAAUCCGCCGCUUCAAUACAGAUUAAAUCCUUAUUUUUUAAUACUACAAAUAUUAGAUAUAUCAAAUCAGUCUCAUUUAGAAAAGAUUGUAUAAAACCAAAAUUGUCCCGUGAUAUAAUGUCGUGGUCUUAGAGGAUGAUAUGAUUUGUAAACUUUUAUAUAUAAUAAAUAAUUUUAAAAUUUUAAAAUAAAAACAAAUCACGGGACAGGUUAAGAAAUUACGGAACGGGUUAAUAUUUCGGAAAGAAUUUAUAUGGCGGACGAAUUUGAAUCAAUAUUUAUAUACCGCUUUAAUACGAGUUAAAUCCUCAGUUUAUUAAUAAUUGUCUCGUGGACUCGUGGUAUACCGUUACUUAAUAACAAUUGUAAACUAUAAUAUAAAUAAAUAUGUUAUAAGGAGAUACAAUUUACAAAAUAUUUUUAUACUAACUUUAAAAUUAAAUCAUCCGGGUUAAAAUCUAGUCUUGUUAUAUAUCAUACUAGAAUUAUCCUAUUUUGAGAUUCAUGACUAAUCAAAAAGUCAAAGCAAUCAAAUGAUAGAGUUUAUGGUUGUUCUAUAAAUUGUUUUGAGUUUCAUGAGCUUUCAUUUCAAAAAUCGAUAUAUCUACUUGUAUAGUUUUAUCUAAUCCAAAUCAAGAUAUCAGAUUAUCCUUAUGUAAUUUGAGUUGAUCUAAUCAGUAUACGAUAAAACUGAAGUGUGAUUUGCACUAUUUUGUAGUAACAACACUUUGCCUCUAUCAUUAUUUGGCGUCAAACGAUGACGUCUUAAGCUUCUUAACAUGUCUUCUUCACGUUAAAUGCAAAGUUUUGUAUACGUGCGCAGUGGUGAUGACGGCCUUCUAACGACUAUUGAAGAUCAAUAAAUAUCACAUUUAAUUACUCUCAUGACUCAUUCCAGUCCAAAUUUGAAUGGGCCUACAAAGAUUAUAUCCCAAUACAAAGUCCAAUUGACAGCAACCUCCGUCACCUGAUUCUCCAAUUCCGGUGAAAAAAUCAUCGCCGGGAAACAAUACUCGGCCAACGAUUCUUCAGUUUUUCACCAACUUUUGUAUAUACGGCUAAAGAGACAUAUAAUACAGAACAAAACAAACUCAAUCGGUUGCUAAAUCCACCAAUAAUCAUUUGGAUUCAGCAAACAAAGUCCAACAGAGAAUGAUAAGAUCUGAAAGUCCACCACCGUUUGCUUAUCGAUCAGCUUCACCAUCUUUUCUGUCGUAGUUGGCUCUUCUCCGUGCCUCCUACCAUUUUUCUCUCUCCAAAUAGAGUGGAUUGUGUUCUGGAACACAUACUUGAGUAUAAAUCCUUUGGUUUUAUCGAUGUCUUUUCCUGCAAGCAUCUUCAUGAUCUCUAGCCAUUUGUCGGAUCCUCAGUCCACUGACCAGCUCCUCCCACACCUUUCUUGAGAACGGGCAUUAAAAAAAUGAGUGAUCUCUUGUUUCCAGCGGGUCUUUGCAGAAGAUACAGCUCGUAUCCACGUUCUUGUUCCAUUUAUCAUUCUAUCCCCUGUUGCUACUCUGUUUUUCACAACUAACCAAGUCAGGAAAGCGUACUUUGGGGUAGCAUUCGCAAACCAGAUCUCAUCAGAGCCUCUCGCCUCCCGGAAACCUAGCUCUCUUCGCGGCUGCCCUUGACAACUAAACCUCCCCGAAAUCCCUCAGUACUUAGAUAAAUGCAUUUGCAGCGCUAACAAAGCUCGGGGCAACAACAGUGCUUGUGCGUCAGAUAUAUAUAUGCGACAAUGAGGAUCCACACCACAAGUCAGGCAAAUUCAAGUAAACCCCUGUAACGGAGCACUUGAUCUGCUCAAGGGCUCGUAGUAGUGUUUUCACAUCAAAUUGGAAGCUAUAACUUCUUUGAUUAGUUUUUAGUGAAAAUAAAUCUCUAGUUCAGUAAUAUAUGUGAAGAGGUUUUCGAGUUGCAAAAUUUCUGCAGAAACCUCAAGAAUUAAACUUAUUGACAAAAGAUAAAAACUUGUCUGAAGUUGUUUGGUCUCAUUGAUUCUUUCAACAACUUAAUAACCCAUAAUAACUAAUUUAACUGAAGCAAAAUCAUAAUGAACCAUCAUUCCAACAUUGAGAGACCAAGAUCACCAAUUUUACUUGCCCUGGUUGUUGAUUAAAGCUUUGGUUAGGAAAUGCGAAACGAUUCCAACCGGACAGAAGAGAAGGCAGAGCGAAACCGAAUGCCUCGUCUCGAUCUGAUUCUCUAACCCAUCAUUAUAAACUUGCCUGCAAAUAAAAACCGAAAACAUGGUUUAUAAGAAACAUGUUCGGAUAAAUUCAGAACCCAUUAAUUGAGAAGAAACAAAUCCGCAAUAUACCGUGCAGCAAAAAGAUCUAUCACAAGAAGAUGAAUCCAAGCAGAAGCAAGAGUCAUUUCACUUGAGAACAUUUUCGCUAUUCCGGACAGCUGCAGAUGAAAUAAAAACAUUAGAAACUGCAUUGAUACAUUCUUGUUUUCGAAUGUUUCGGGAUGGUUGAGGGAAAGCAAAACCUCUGGCAACAUGUAUUUACUAGAAAACAUGUAUUUGAGCGUCUCGGGUGUCCAAGAAAGGUAUAACAAAUAUGCGUAUAAUACGCCUAAGACGAUAUACGGUAUGCUACUCUCCAUACACUUCUUGGUCUGCAAAAAGCAACAUAAUACUCAAUUUAGAUCAACUUCUUUGGUUCUGCACAAAAACUGCAAUAAAACAUAAAACUUACAAUUUCAGCUUUUGGAGCUACAACCAUGAGCGUAUAAAAGGGAAGAACCGCGGUAGUUCCAACCGCAAAUACACUGCUUGCAAUCUGAGAAGUAGUUAACCCUGCAACAUGAAUAUAUAAGAGAUUCUAUCACUCAUUUAAUCUGAGAUCAAAAGUCACAAAUGAGUGACAAAGUUUUAAUCUUUAAACUUCAGUUACAAAUGCAGAGAAACACAUUACAUGAAGCUCGUACACCGGAGAAUUUCUUGCGAACUACAGAGUUAGAAUUCAACGAAACAUUGGACUGAACAGAGAUUCCUGAUCCUCCAAUGAAGCUCCAACGAUGAUCUAAUCUAAUCUUUGAAGAAUCAAGACAAAGUUCCAAUCUUUUAGCCGAAAUGUUGCGUUUCAUCAUCUGAAUUCAAGAAAGAUUCUCUUUUACUUCAUAGAAAUUCAGAAACUUUCAGACAAAAACUCACAACAAUCAAGAACAGAGAUUCUUUAACAGUGACUCAGGAGAAAUAAAGUCAACUUAGUCAAUUCGAAAACCCAUUAAAUUCUUCAAUUUGAGUCAAAAGAUAAAGACUUUUAAGGUUAUCCAUAACUAUUCAAAACAGUAGAACCUCAACACAUAUACGAAUAGUGAAAUUGAAGAAGAAGAUACCGUGAGAGAUGAAGACAAAGGCUGAGAAACGCAAGAAGAAAAAGCCAUCUCUGAUUUAAAUCUGCCAAAAAUUGAUCUUUCAUCACCUUCUUCAACAAACUCUCUGCAUAUAUAUAUAAAUUAAACACAAAGAGGAAUAAUGGUUUGAUAGAUUUCCACUGAAUUAAAAAAUAAAACGGAAGUGGAAGGAAAAAAAGUUGUCUUUCACACUCUUUCUUGCUCAGUGUCCACAAUUAUAUGCAACACUUUUUGCUCAUCCUUCCAUCUUUAAAAACUUCAAUUUCGGUUUAGUUUAUUUAAAUUACUUAGAUUUUUUGUUUAUUUAAAUUAAAAUCUAUUAUAAUAUGGCAUAAUCAGUAGAUUCAGUAUAAUUUUGGUUUAUUUCAAUCAAUGAUAUAUCUAAAUAUUAGUAUUAUUAUUAUCAUAUAAGAUUUUAGUAAAUUAAUUACACAAAAAAGUUCAAUAUAUAAGUACACAUAAAUUUUUGAAUAUAUUGAUGGAAAAUUUAAAUGUAAAUGGUUUAUUUUUGUGUGAAAGAAGUUAUAUGUUAAUGGAGAGUUGUGAUCAAAGUGAAUUUAGGUGGACAAGACACAAGUCUAGUUUCAGGACAGAAAAAGACAAUAGUUAGUGUUUCCCCCAUUAAUUCGUUUUUUUCUUUUAUUAGAUUAUAUAUUUUAAUUUGUAUUCACAACCUGGUUAUUGCAUUAAGAAUUGACUAUAAAAAGAUUUAAAAAAAAAAUACAUUAACGAAAAGAAAAACAAGAAAAAGAUAGACAUGUGGCUAAUACUCAUUGCUUGAGAAAUUGGAUGGAGUACGAAGAUAACUUGGGUGGGCUAUUUGGUAUGAUAACUUAUAUAUCUAUUAAUAGGCCUUUUGGCCCACCCACUUUGUUUUUUUUUCUAUUCCUUUAUCACUCCCACCUAAUUUGUUUAUUUCAACAAAAAACAACACAUGAAAACAAAAACAAAACUUUGGUAACUCCUAUCUAACCAAGUUAGAAAAAGCCUUUGGGAGGCGAUUUUUUAGGUCUAGCCGCCAAACAACUUCUCUUCUCAAAUCUUUGUCGAUACCUCUCUGAUUUUCCGGUGUCCUUGGCCGGAGUCGUGAGAGGGUGUGUCUGUUUAUCUUUUAAUUGAUUUUCCUUUGUUUUGGGUCUUCUUUGGCUUCUCCUAUGGCGGAUUAAAGACAAGAUCUAGAUGGUUGUGCUUCGAUUGGGUUGGUUCCGUUCUAGUGAUGGGUUUGCUUGGUUCUCAGUGGAUGGUCGGUGUUUUCGUCGGAGCCCGUGUGGUUCUUCACUAUUACGGCUGUUUGUUUUUGGAGAUGGAGGUUUGGUUACUUCAUCUUGUUUAUGCCCGUAACUUUUAGAAGCUCUGCAGUCUCGAUUCUGUCUUAGGCUAAGAUUGGAUUGCCUUUGGUUGGGUAAUUUAGUCUUAGUAGUAUGGUUGGUUGAGGGUAGAAGCCUUAGUUUCAAGUUUAGGGAUGGCAAUAUUGACUCCUAGUUCUGCCUCCUGUUACUUUCUGCCCGGUUAUUGGGGUUAUGAGUUUGUGAAGGUUUCGUUUUGUGGGUUCUUCAUUUGGAUGGUAGUCUCCUACAAAGGCAUCUACUAGCUCUCUUCUUUUUCCUUGUUUGGAUUUAAGGUUUGAGUUCAAGACGAUGUGGUAGGCUCGGUCUCUAUUCCUUCUCUUGCGUGGCGUAACAAGUUCUUAGGCUGUAGAUGGUUUUGGCUGGGUCUACGAAUGUCCGCGUGUAAGGUUUGUUGGCCCUCUUUAGCGUUUUCCCCUUCGGAUCUCAAGGCUUCUCCUUGUCCCUUCUCCUACUUGUCUUCUCUGGUUUCUGGUGUGGUAGUGAUGGUUAGGAUCUGUGUUCUGAUUCUCUUUUAUCUGUGCUCGUUUCUGCUCGGGGUGUGGUUGUGUGAGCUUGGUUUUGUAUCCUUCUCGGGCCUUUCAUGUAAAGGCAAUCUAAUGAUGGGUCCUCUUGUUGCUCCUGUUUGUAACCACUUUCCAGCGCCCAAAAUGUUCUAUGGAAAUGUUCGUCGGAUUCUUUUCGUGAAGAGUUUGCAGUUGUGUUGCUUGAGUCUUAGAUAUUAGCUUUUUCCUGUACUUUAAGGUUUUCCUUCUUUUAUGUCUGCCUUUUUUGGCUUUUGUCUUUGGGGGUUUCCAUGUAUCCGCCGGCUUAGUUUUCCGGGGAUUAGAGUCCCGCCGGGGUUAGUAUUUUACCAUGUAUCCCAACUUUGUAUUUCUCCCUUGGUUAUAUUUCAUGAAUUAUUCAGACGAAAAAAAAAAAAAAAGUAAGUCCUAUCUAUCAAUCUUUAUGUGGUAUUUGAGCAUUUCGAUGUAUUCGAUGGCGACCAAAACCUUUUGAAAAACAAUAUGUAUAAUUCUUGAAAUUAAAUAGUAAAAAAGUUAUUAAAAAAUGGGUAAAAAAGUUUUAAGAUAUUUGAAAACUUUCCACUAUAUCAAUAAUUAAUUAGAAAUGUUUUUUUUUUUUAAUAAAAUUUGAGUUUUUACGACCCACACAUAGCAUAUCCUAUUUCGAAAGUACCUAAACAAACGGUUCCAAAAUAUCUUUAUGUGAAUUUGGGUCAAGCCCUUCGAUUGAAGAAAAUAUAUGAUCCACAAGAUGCUUGAAUAUACUUAGUAAAAAUGAAUAUUCAAGACUCUUAUCCAGAAUCCUAUCCUAAAGAAGGCACGUCCACUAAUGUAUCCAUCACUAGAUUUCAAGUGGGUCAUCUUUUACUUAAAGAUAUUGUUAGUCUAAACCUCUCAAGCUCAUUAAUCAUGUGACAAGAAUUGAAUGUGAAUCUAAUUUUUCUAGUGAUUUCUUUAGCGACACUAGAUAUGCUAUGGUUCUUCAACUUGUAAAUUUCAUAUUUGGAGCCGCAUUGUCCUCUUUCAUUUUGUUCAUAUGCAAUUCAAAUUGAAAGACUUAUAGAACAUUACAUAUUUAUUUCAUCAGACAGUUGAGAAUCCGAUAGAAAAUGUCUCGCAAACCGGAAAACAAACGUUAAAUCCGGAAAUUAAAACCCAUAAAAAAAGAAGAAGAAAAAAAGCAGAAGAACAAGGGAUAAAAUCAAAGGUGGGGGAUAAUGUUUUGAUGUUUACACAGAGCAAAGGGAAAUUAACCGGUGAAGCUUGGUGGCUUGUAGGCAAUGAAACUGAUGCACUGCACUUGACGGCUGUUGUCGAAUCCGAUGAUCCUAAUGAAGGCUUCAGGGUACUCCUUCUUGCACUCUUCCACUUCCUUCAACACUUGAGCGGAGUCGGUGCAACCGAACAAGGGAAGCUUCCACAUUGUCCAGUACCGUCCAUCGUAGUAUCCGGGGCUGUUACCGUGCUCACGGUACACAAAUCCGUGCUACAAACCACAUAUAUUACAACCACUCAGAAAAACAUUUUGUAUAUGUUUAUAUAAUUCAAGAUUCCUAAUAUAUGAAGCGAAUUACUAACCUAAUUUUCCUAAGAUCUACCUCGUUUAUAUAUAUGUUUUAAGCUUUUAUUAAUUACCUCCAACUCGAAUUCAACACAAGGAAUCCACUUGUUGCGGAGAAGGUAGUCAACUUCCUUAGCCAAUUCGGAAUCGGUAAGGUCAGGAAGGUAAGAGAGAGUCUCGAACUUCUUCUUUCCAACGGGAGGCCACACCUAUAUUUUUUUUUUUUAUCGAUUUUUCGAAUCAUAUUAGUUCAUGUAAAUCUAAUUAAAAACCGAUAAUAAAUUAAAAAGUGAAGAAGAAAUAUAUAUGACCUGCAUGCAGUUAACUCUUCCGCCGUUGCUUGUGAUGGAAGUAAUGUCGUUGUUGGCCUUGCGGGUGGCUGGGAAGGCAGCGGAGGACUUAAGUCCGGUGAAAGGAGCGACCAUUGUGGCCUGAGCCGGAGAG
rnacentral:lncRNA from 1 species